rnacentral:lncRNA from 1 species
UUUUUUUUUACUUUUGUACUGUAUUAAAAAGGCUAAACUUNNNNNNNNNNNNNNNNNNNNNNNNNNNNNNNNNNNNNNNNNNNNNNNNNNNNNNNNNNNNNNNNNNNNNNNNNNNNNNNNNNNNNNNNNNNNNNNNNNNNNNNNNNNNNNNNNNNNNNNNNNNNNNNNNNNNNNNNNNNNNNNNNNNNNNNNNNNNNNNNNNNNNNNNNNNNNNNNNNNNNNNNNNNNNNNNNNNNNNNNNNNNNNNNNNNNNNNNNNNNNNNNNNNNNNNNNNNNNNNNNNNNNNNNNNNNNNNNNNNNNNNNNNNNNNNNNNNNNNNNNNNNNNNNNNNNNNNNNNNNNNNNNNNNNNNNNNNNNNNNNNNNNNNNNNNNNNNNNNNNNNNNNNNNNNNNNNNNNNNNNNNNNNNNNNNNNNNNNNNNNNNNNNNNNNNNNNNNNNNNNNNNNNNNNNNNNNNNNNNNNNNNNNNGUAUAUAUAGAAAAUGUUGACCAUGUAUUAAAACAAAGUUAAUCUUGCUUUUGAAUUUUUUUAAUCAAGCAUUUGGAAAAUGUUAAAUGUGUAUAGAAAAAUGUUGAUCAUGUAUUAAAAAAUAGUUAAUCUUGCUUUGAAUUUUUUAAUAAAGCAUUUAGAAAAUGUCAAAUGUGUAAAGAAAAAUGUUUACCAUGUAUUAAAUAAUAGUUAAUCUUGCUUUUUGAAUUUUUAUAAGCAAGCAUUUGGAAAAUGUUAACUGUGUAUAGAAAAAUGUUGACCAUGUAUUAAAAAAUAUUUAAUCAUGAAUUGGAAAAAAAUUAAUCAAGCAUUUGAAAAAUAUUAAAUGUGUAUAGAAAAAAUGUUGACAUGCAUGAAAGAUAUAUUAAGCAAGCAUUUGAAAUGUUGAAAAUAUGUAUAGUUUUUUUGAACAUGUAUUUAAUAUUUUAAUAUUUUGUUUGAUAAUUUAAUAAAAUAUUUCAAAAAUGGUAAAACAUGUAUAGAAAAGAUCUUGACCAUGUAAUGUAUUGAAAAACAGAGAAAGUAGAAAAAAAGAAGAAAACCGAUGAAACACAAGAAAGAAACAAAAGAAAUAUGAAGAAAGAAAGCACAAAAAAAACCUAUUAGAAACAAGAAAGAAACAAAGAGAGACGAUGAAAAAAAAGACAGAAAUGCAAAAACAGUGAAAGGCACACUCUGUAUAAGAGUGUAUAGCAUGUGCGCUUAUUAUGGUCCAGGUUAGUUAGUUUGCUCUCUUUUUUUGUAAGAAACAACCAAGAGGGCCCGAGUCCACCUUAGUGCGCUAUUCGCUGAUGGCUUUAAUAUUUAUCUUUCAGUUGCAUCGCCAGUUCGCCAGAGCAGGCAGUUAACAAGCGUUCCUUCGGGAGCCUCGCAACGAUCAGUGUCAUUUGACGCGCUCUCAGCUAUUCGCCACGUGUCGCGCUCUGGACACUCUUUUCGGAUUUUAUUUUUUUUAUUUUUUUGCACGCGUUUUCGCCUUUUUAUACGGUUUUUUAUGGGUUUUUUCGAUGUUUUGGUUUUUCCUCGGGCUUCCUUAGCUUUUCAACAAAAAAAGUUUGAAAUUUUUUGGGGCGAAAAAACGCCUUUUCUUUUUUUUCUUUCGAGAGAGUCAUGGUUUUUCUUCCGCGAGAGGCACGGUUGUGCUUUAGUAAGAGUCACGGCCGUGCCUUUUGGAAACGAAAAAAACACGUUUUCUGUUUUUUUUCUUUCACGAGUCACGAUUUUGCUUCCGCGAGAGGCAUGGUUGUGCUUUCGCGAGAGUCAUGGUCGUGCCUCUCGAAAACGAAAAAAACACAUUUUCUGUUUUUUUCCUUCCACGAGAGUUACGGUUUUGCUUCUACGAGAGACACGGUUGUGAUUUCGCGAGAGGAACGGGCGUGCCUCUUUCGAAAAAGAAAAAAAAACUUGUGUUUCCGGUUCGAUUUUUUCGUCCGAUUUUUUUGUGAAAAAAAGUUCGUCAAAACCUAUCAACAUGGGAUCUAAUUUUGAAGAUCUCGACACGACAAAUCCAACGGUGAAAACGGUUCGAGAUUUGGACGCAUGGUUUAAAAGAUAAAACGUUUUGAAUAAACGGAUCUAUGAAAAAAGGGAAAACUCAGAGGUCGCGACAAGUGGCGCGCUGCAUGUGCGCCACUUGUCACGACCAGAAAAGAUGGGAUGUUCUUUGCAAAGAAUAUUCCUUAAUUAGUGAUUUCGCCAGUUCGCCACCUUUUUUCCUCGGAUAUUCUAAAGAAAAAAGAGAAAACUUUUUUUCCUCGGAUUUGAGCUUUUCAAAAAGCAGCAAGUUAGCGUUAGUACUACACACUGUAGGAACCUUUUGUUUCUUUUAGCUUGCGUAGGAAUCUUUGUUGACCUUGGCAGAAAACGACCGGGCAUGGCACAUCCAAUCCUGCUGCUAAACCGUGCACGACUCCGUCAAUCUUUCGUGCACGAAGCAAGCGAUCGAGAUAACACUAGGUGGCGACGUACGUAAUUGCGAUCCCUCCCAGCAGACGGCACCAUCAGGAAUGUAAAGAGACGGCCACAUCAGGCUUUAAUCCUGACGACGAGUCGGCCACUAACCUUGCCUGCAACCCACGGCAUAUUAAGAUCAGGACCCGUAAAAAGUUUGCAAGUGAACGUCUGAUCUGCCCGGCGCGAAUCUCCAAGCAAAACGUGCACGUACGCCCUCGGCUUUGUCCCCCGGAAAACGACCUGUCGAGAGGAGCUCCACGUAGACGUCGCCGUCGCCUCCUUUGGGACAUCGCCGUCGCCGUCAGACCCUUCUCCUAGCUGCCGCUGCGUCACAGCUUGGAGCCUUGGACGCGGACGAAACCGUCGCCCACACGAGUCGCCAUCGUGUGGCGAAUAUCAAAGCCGCCGCCGCUUCACGUGUGCCCGGCGGUGGAGGGACGGCCGUCUGAUCCAACCAGGAUGAUCUUUUUUCGGUGUUAUUACUCACGUCCACAGGUGUGAUAAUAUAGUCGCGACACAUGCGCAAAUCGGGGUCAAAUUUGAUGCCAUUUUUAAAAAGAAAAUCGGGGUCAAAGUAGUAAAAGUUGUCUUGGCUUGCUCGAACCAUGGUGGGAUCUUCUGGGUGCUGGAGCUCUGCAGCGGAGCCUCCACCCAAACGUGCGCUGCUGCUUUAAUUAUUACUUUUGCAGCUCAAUGAUGCUUUGCACGUGUUUCGGGCAUUGACCGUCUCAAGAUGCACAUGACACUCCAGAUUUCAAGAAAUUAUAUGCAUUACGUAUUGCUAGUGAUUACAUGGCCAUUGACCAUUCACCUGGUUUGUUAGGGGAUGUUUGACUUAAAAGUCCUAGGACUUUUUCUAAUUCCAGUGACUAAUUAAAAAGGAUUCUUUAAUAGAGUUUUUUUUUCUAGUCCGUGUAAAAAAGUUUCUCCUGUUUGGUUUCUAGGGAUUUUUUAGGGACUUUUUCUAGUCUCUGGGACUAAAAAGUCCCUGAACCAAACACCCCUUUAUUUUCACUCUAAUUUAGGGUCUUAUUUUGGUCAUAAUUGUAACCAAUAAAAUAUAAGUUAUACAUAGCAAAAAAACAUUAUCGGAAACUAUGUUCAAAUACGAAUCAAAUGAUAUAAGUUUUGAUGACAUGUAUUAACAUAUUCUAGUUAAAUCUAUAAUUAAAAUUUGACACAACCUCCAAAGAAGAUCAAUAAACUAGGACGUUAGUAGGAGUAGUAAUUUGCAAAAAAAAAGUAUUACUAGUGAUUUUUCGUUCGCAGCUUUACUAUUUUUGGUCCUCGUAUUUUUUUGCGGGGUAUUUUUGGUGCUCAUUGUACAUGGUACUCCUUGUAGGUUGUUCGUGCCUGCAUGGAAUAUGCAAAAAUGCAGUUUGUGAAGUGUAUAAACCAAAGGCGUCUUGCCCUUACUUUCUAGUCGCGUGUUGACGAUCGGGUGAUUCUCAUGCAAGCGUGCACAACACUCUCAACUCUCAUGAUAUAUGGUCUUCAUGUCAAUGAUUGUCUCGUCUUUCUUUCGGUGAAUCUUUAAAAAUAAAAUACAAUUAACAUCACAUCGCAAGUCCAUUGGAAGGAGAUCAAGUUAUCAGCAUUGCAAUCAUGGAGCAUCCAUGAUAAAACAAAACAAGGUUUCGUGGGAAGCCAAAAAGGUGACAGCGUGGAAGGACCACGCAUGUCCACCGCAGAGAGGACGUUGCCGCAUGCUUCAUAGGCAGCAACUGCUGGUCCACGUCAAUCAGGCAAAUCCACUCUGUAAAAAGAACAAGUGAAAGUGCUUUUUUAUUAUUAUAAAAGAAUGCAUAUCUUGCCAUGCACAAAGAGUUCGAAGAAGAAGAAGCCAUUUGAUCUCUUGCAAAAAUUAAAUGAAAUGUUUGAUCAUACGAAAGAAAAUGCACUUUCAAUUGGGCAGAUCCGCAUAUGGUCACCUUUCCUUGGAGAUUAAUGCUUUAAUGGCUGAUAGGGAGUUUAUUCCAUACAAUUUACACAAAGAUCAAAAUAGAGUUGUAGAUUGGUUGGCUAGAUAUAGUCGAACUGAGUGUACCACAUUUGUGUGGUUACUUAGAGGGGCCCACAUACUGAGGAUUUCUUACAACACGAUUGUUACUUGAUAAUUUUGGAAUAAACCCCCCUUUACCACGCAAAAAGAGUCAUUGUUUGACAAGACCGCCUUAACGGACAGUCCUUUUCAACAAUGUGUGUCGAGUCUGUGUUGUUUGUCAGAUUGGUCGGUAGUGUCUUGUCUUUGGGACAGUGUAAUAUUGGUCUUCUCUUAGCGUUUGCGAGUUGGUGGCGGGCUUAGGUUCGUCGCCCUUGAUGCGUGUGUGGGAGGUUGUUCGGCGCAAAUGCCCUGCUCUGGGUUGUGGACGAGGUCGGCGACGGGGACGCCUUUGGGCGCCGCUUCCUGGUGGGGGCAUCAUUUUGAGAUUACUGCCCAUCCCCUAGCUCGAUGGCGGUGUUGUGUGUCUCUCUCUUCUUGAAUGCAUCCUCUCAUAGCAGAUAGGAUGAGAAAACUGGUGGCAGCUUGCUUAACGUGGUUUUGAGGGGCGGCUGCUCUCCUUGCUUUGAUAUGGCGUCGAGUUUUGGCAAAGAUGAUGGUGUCUAUUUGUAGGGGCAUGGCGGGACUUCAUUAACCAGUCCUUUCCAAUGUGUUCGACGAAUUUCCUCUUCUAUCUUGCUGUGUGGUCACGGAUUCGAAGCUGCACGAGAGGAGCCUAAGCGGCGACGAUGACAUGCAAUCGGUGGUUUUUGAGGGAAGACUUCGUCGAUGGGGCCCUACAUUUUUGUCUGAGUGAAACCGCCUUCCAAGUUCGAGUUGUCUUGUUCCUAUUACCGGGGGGCAUUUGUUUGGCAUAGAUCGAUGCACAUUUCAUGAAGUUGUUGCAGCAAGGGCACUAUUGCUUGUUGUUUGCGAUGAAGUCAAAGUCACUCGCUCGGGGAGGAGUGGUUGCGAUGACAUGUGCAAUCAACCUCGACGACGGUCCUCUCCUGGACGACAUGUAUGUGUUUUGUAUUAAUAGUCAGGCCGAGUGGGUGGUGCCCUUUUUGGCCAUUUAUAAUAGGUUUACGUCAGCUUUUCUCGUAAAAAAACAUGACAAUUAUCUUCAUCUUAAUGAAUGAGAUAAUGUAAAUCUUUUGUCAUCGUUUAAAAAGUAAUAAUCUUGAUCUUUAGUUCAUUUUUAAGUAAUGUAUUUUUUCUUUCAACUUAAUUAAUUGAGUGAGACAAUUUGUCUUAAAGUUAUAUAAUAAAUGUUCACGUACAUUGGAAUGAAGGAGAUACGAGAUACAUCGAAGGGAAUGGUAAGAAGUGAUAUAACGACGCAGCAAGAAAAAAGAAAGAAAAAACAUGACAAGUAUCUUCUUCUUAAUGAAUGAGAUAAUGUAAAUCUUUUGUCUCUGUUUAAAAACAAUAAUAAUUUUGAUCUCUAAUUAAUUUUUUAAGUAAUGAAAAAUUUCUUUCAGCUUAAUUAAUUGAGUGAGACAAUUUGCCUCAAAGUAAUGUAAUAAAUGUUGACAUACAUUGGAAUGAAGAAGACAUGAGAUACAUUGAAGGGAAUGAUAAGAACUGAUACAACGGCGCAACAAGAAAAAAAAUGAAGUCCUAAUUUUCCACUAAGCUAAGUCCAUUCGCAAACCAUGCACGAGAAUGUCCUCUUUUGCAGUACAACAUAAUCUUCUUUGUGUUGUUUAAAUUUUCCUCUUCAUUAGUUGCCCACACUGUUUGCUACUCAUUUCCUGCAAUAUCCAUUUUGUCCCUAGUGACUGCACCUGCAAAACAACGGGCUAUAAAUAUGUUCCCAUAAAACUUCAUAAACAUUUAAUUUCUAAAAAUCCUUAAUAACUACCUCGGGAAAUUCAGCAUCAUUUCGAAAUGCAACAAAAGUAUUUGGUCGCGAAGUUAUCAACCCAUGCCAUCUGAAGCAACAUUGUUUCUUGGACUAGAUACACCCAAAAAGGUAAAUUGGCUGUUUAGUUGGCUUUGCUAGCCUGCUUGUCGAGUUUCAACAACUUCUCUCUCCUUCAUAAAUAUUCAGACAAAAUAGUCUCUCGAUAAUUUGUCGGUGUGCGGUCAACCGACAAAAAUCUCGACUACAAAAAACAAGAUUGACUUUGCAGUCUUGUAUUCCGGGGCAAAAAUGCCAAAGUGCCGAUGGUUGGUUCACAGAUGCACUAAAUUCCUUUUCUCAAAAUCAAAUGUAAUCUAAAAAACGAACAAAAGAAAAAAGAUGCACUAAAAAUCCAUUGGUACAUUUUCUCCAAAAAAGAGAGAGAACUUUUUUCAAAACAAAAACCACAAAAACGCCCACCAACCAAAACAAAACGCCCGAAAUACAACAGCAACGCGCCCGCGUCAGACCCACGCGCGCACGCCCCCACUGCCACGCGGGCCCCACCCACGCCCUUCCACGCACUUGCGUCGCGGCUCGCGCAGACACGGCGAUACGUAGGCAGGCAGGCCCCCUCUCCCCGCACGAGCGAAAAGGCCACAGCAACGGUCACAGAUUGGGCUCCCCUCUCGUCGUCUCUCCCUCUCGCCAACGCCAGCCAAAUCUUCGCUUCCCAAAGCUCUCCCCUCCCUCCCUCCCCCCGUCGCUUCCCCAUCACGCCUGCUCCACGCGGCGGCCGCGAUUGAGCCCGCCGCCGCCGCCGCCGCCGAGCGCGCGACGACAUGGGCGCCGCCGACAACAACGCCGUACGUUUCUUCCCCGCCACUCCGGAAAGACCGCGCCCUGUUUAAUUCCGGGCGAUACGCCGCCGGCUGUCUCUGAGUUUGCUUGCUUCCGUGUUGUUCGCGUGUUUGCAGGCGCCGCGGCAUGGGCAGCAGCCGGAUGGGGCCCGAGGGCGGGCGCCGGCGCCGGAGCAGAGGGAGGUGAAGGUGGUGGUCGUGGACGGGCCGGCGCCGGCCGUGUCGAGGCUGCAGGCGCAGCGGCCCGUGGCGCCGCUGCAGGUGACCACGCAGGCGCCGCCGCCGCCCAUGUCGGUGGCCUCCGGCGGCGAGGACCCGCCGCCCGCGGCGGCCUACCCGCCGCUCAUGCAGCAGACCCCACCACAGGUACUCCUCCUCCCCCCAAAUCCCAACCACUAAAAUGCCCAAUUGACCGCUCGUUCCGCCCAUCAAAUUUCCAAUUCGAUUUUCUGUCAAAUUAUCUCGCACAAACAGUUAAUAGAUAGAUGGACUCCGGUCUUUCUAGGGCAUGUGCGCUUGUGUGUAGUGCGAUCGACAGUCGGUCGUCCCAGCUAGGCCCCUAGUCCCAACCCAGCAGUCCGGUUGGUACGCGAGUACUCCCACAAUAAUUUCCCUUGCCACUCUUGGGUUGGCAUUGCAAUGUGCACAGGCACGGCCCCGUACCCCUCACCUACUUGACAUUUUCGCGUAACAAAUUGCGCAUUUGGGUUGAAUUAUGCAGUGCUGCAUUGACACCAUCUUUCUUUUUUUCCAAACAAAAGUCUUAGUUGUGUGCUUAUGGUUGUACUCCUAUAAUACACCAGUUUGAUACCGACAGUUGCACUUGAUUUCUCAUCAGAACACUGUUUUUUAUUUGAAAGGCGGCUGAUGGCAUGUUGCAGGUUGAGAUAUUUCGAUUAGUGUGUUAUCGCUGUAGAAGCACAGCAACAACCAAAUAAUUCAUCACCGAUUGGAGCAGUUCUUUGCAAGCUCAAAUGCCCAUCCUCCUGCCUAGAGCGAGUGAGUACAAGAGGAUGGAUAAUGGAGGAGAGGGGGUUGUAGUGUUUGAGACGAUUUGUUUUUGCUAAUCAAAGCGGUAGUACUGCCUAACGUAUCACUUUAGUUAAUCUACUCACGGGUAACUUAAGCGGUAAAAGGCCUCUUAAAAUAUCCACGCAGAAUGUACCACGAAUCGAAUCGAAUCGAAUCGAAUCUUGGUAGUAGUAUGAUCUGGAUUAAAAAUAUCGAAUAUUCCAUAGGCGCCCAACCUCCUACCCGUUAGCAGCUAAUGACUUUACUAAUCCAAUUGGUCUCGAGUUAACUGGUUGUUUAAUUUGUUGCAGCCACUGGCGUCGUUGAACUCGCGCGUGUACACCAACCAGAUCACGCUGUGCCUCUUCCUGCUGCAGCUGGCGGCGGCGGGGCUCGCCGUCGGCUUCUUCGUGUACCGGGCCGUCAAGGACAUCGUGCAGGACCCGCGCUCCCGCAAUGCGCGGCGCGAGCAGAGCCUGCUCCGCCAGUGGCUGCCCCCCGUGGAGGGCGCCGUGGCGCUCAGCAUCCUACUGGCCUUCGCGUGGCAGAAGGCGGUGCGCGCGUGGCCGCGCGCCAUGGUGACCGUCAUCCUCUGGUCGGCCUUCGGCGUCACGCUCGCCGUCGGCUCCCUGCUCAUGUGCUUCUCCAUGCCGGCCACUGUGGGGCUCGGUGUGGCCUUGGUGGUCUUCUCCAUCGGCACCGGGCUGUACGCGUGCUGGGUGACCCGUCGCGUCGGGUUCACGGCGCGGGUGUUCGAGAAGGCGGUGCAGCCCGUGGACAAGUUCCGGGGGCUCAACGGCCCGGCGUGCCUCAUGGUGGCCGCCGGGUUCGUGUGGAUCUCCGUGUGGUGCGUGGCGGUCAUCGGUGCCGUCAACUUCCGGUUCCCUGGCCUCACCAUCCUGGCGCUGGUGGUGAGCCUGGCGUGGACCGCCGAGGUGAUGCGCAACGUGGCGAACCUGACGGCCAGCCGGGUGAUCGCGCUCUACUACCUCCGCGGCAUGCAGUCCAGCGUGCAGUUCAGCUUCCAGCGCGCGCUGUCGUACAACCUCGGCAGCGCCUGCCUCGGCUCGCUCUUCGUGCCCACCAUCGAGGCGCUCCGCAUCCUCGCCCGCGGGCUCAACCUGCUGGAGGGCGAGGACGAGUUCAUGUUCUCCUGCGCGCACUGCUGCCUCAACGUCAUGAACGCCGUCUUCGAGUUCGGCAACAGCUGGGCAUUCGUCCAUGUAAGCCUUCAGUCCGCUUCCAAUCAUCUUCAUCCUCUGUGCUGACAAGCUUAGUUGUGAGACUAACGGUGGAUGAACCUCAUGGCGCAGAUCGCGGCAUACGGGAGGGGGUUCGUGCAGGCGUCUCGGAGCACGUGGAGGCAGUUCGAGGGGCAGCCGGGGAUGCCGGCGCUGGCGGACGCGGACAUCACGAGCUCGGUGUGCUUCCUGACGGGGGUGACGAGCGGCGCGCUGUGCGUGGCACUGGCGGGGUCGUGGACGUUCGUGACGCACAGGCACUACACGGCCACGGUGUCGCUCAUGGCGUUCUACGUGGGGUACCUGAUGACCCGGAUCGGCAUGGCGCUGCCGCAGGCGUGCGUGGGCUGCUACUACGUGUGCUACGCCGAGAACCCCCGCUCCCGGCUCUUCGAGGACAGCCCCAUAGGGGAGCGGCUGAACAAGAUGAAGGAGGACGGGGAGGACGCGGUCGGGGUCGCGCCCACCCCGCGGUUCCCGCACCAGCACGUCAGCGCCGCCUGACCCCGGCCGCCGCCGCCGCCGUGUACAGGCAAGAACAUGUUAGCCCAAGAACCGGAUCGUGCGAUGUCAUUCCAUGGCUGCCGGUGCUGGCCGAGUUGACCGGCGGCGGCGGACUUGCAUUGGCGUCGCGUGAAAGCAAGGCAAGUGGGGAAGGAUGAUCGGAGAAGGGAUCUCGUACGACCCAUGCAGCGGAUCGUAGUACUCACGCUGUCGAGGAGCACGAGUUGAUGUUCUCCUCUUGUGUCUGAAAUAGUAGGGGCGACUCUUUUUGACGUUUCUGUAAAUUCCUCCAUUUUUUGGCAUGUGUUUUCACCCGUUGUUAGUGGUAGCAGAAGCCUGAGCAUUUCUUCUUUUAGGUGUAUUUAUUCGUCUAGCAAAAACUGUCACCGUGAUUGCAAGGAUGACAUGUGAAUAUUUUCUUGUAACAUCAUCUUUCUAGCGUUUUCAUCAGAUGGCAAGUGGCGGUGUUGGCAGAUCUUUGUUGUGAGUAUCUGAAAUUCUGAACCGAACAUGAUGAGAAACUGGACCGGGAUAGUAGCUGAGCCUGAGGGGCGUAGAGCAUGUGAAGUUAUGAACAGAGCAUGGUAAUGCACCCACCAGUAUGGUGACUGGUGAGUGGCAUUAACGAUUCUGCGCAGGUUCGUUCACGCAAUAAUGAUGCGUGGAACCGAACACAGCGGCAUGGUACAGAGGCAUGUUGCAACGUGCAGAGAGGAAAAGCCGCCAAGAGGAGACGGCCUCCUUGUCACAGGGAUUGGAAAGCCGAUGUGACCAAAUGUACAAGUCAUCAAAGUAUGCCCCUGGUUUCACGUAGGGUCAGAACACAGGCAUCGCAUCGGUUAAUCAAGGUUACACCUACCAUUCCUGAAACCAUCAACUUGAGGAGAUUGUGUUUUAAGGUCCGGUCUAUCAAUACAAGCUGUUGGUUGCUGUUUGACGCGACGAUGGCCUCUACUCUAUUAGAGACUAACUAAUUGUACUCAGUGUAGGCUGCUAUAUGUCGUCCAUCACCUUCAGGCAAAGAAAGGUACUAGUAGGAAACUGGAAGAGAAGGUACGUGCGCGCACGACCGCAACUGCGUCACCCUGUUUUGUCCGUUGCAUUUGUCACAUUGUUCUCAACUAGUGGUGCGCCCCUCCCCCUCGUGACGCUGACACACGCACGAGGCAGUUUCCUUCCGGUUCAUUCCCUUCAGGAGACCAACGGAAAAUCGCAUCGAUUAUUCAGUCAUUCUUCAAAAUUUAUUCAGUCAAAAAAAAAACUUCCUAAAAAAUUAUUCAGUCAUUGACCGAGGUCUGACUAAACUACCCUACGUAGCACUUCCAUUCUGCCUGCGCAUCGCAUGCAUCGAUCCUGCUCGAUCGCCGGUUUGCUUGAGUGUACGUGAUCUACCGGGUCCCUUUAUUCUCUUUUCCGGGCCGAUAAUAAUAAUCUUACGGUUUGGCCUGGUCAGCUGUAUGCAAUUCCUAGACCAGGAGAAUGUGAUUUCGCAAUACAUACUGGAGUGGAGUAUAUCCACAAAGGCCAAGUAUCACUGUAUAUCAGUGAAAAAACCACAAAUAACUUGUCUUGUAGGCCUCGGAUCUACAACAAAUUAACACCACUUACACGCACAUUCGUUAGUUACCCCGUUUCAAAAGCAGAUAACCCUCUUCUCUCGAGGCAAAGCUGGCUUGCAGGUUAAGAUAAUAAAUAAAUAACUUCAGUUAACUACUUUUUUUUGUUGGGAAACUUCAGUUAGCUACUUGCACAGUUAACUGAAGGGAAAUGCGAAGCAUCAGCGAAAAUCUACAAACUCCUCUCUUAGGACGCCGGAUCUACAGCAGACGGCAAGCAUGGACCGAAGGUGGGAUAUCUAAGUAGCAAGUACUUGGACGCCAGUUAGCAGCUAACCCACUCCACUCUCUUCACAAAAGCAGAUAACCCUUUUUUCUCGAGGCAACCUUGCAGGUUUUGACCGACAAACUCAUCUUCAGUUAGUAACUUGGAGUGGAGAUAUACUACUAGUACUACGUACGUACGUAGAGCUACGGCACACCUUUGCGCCCAAGUACGUCCUCGAUCCUAGCUAAUUAAGCUAGCUCACUGCUCACCAUGCUUGUAUCUACGAGCAUCCAUGUACAUACACUUGGAAGGUGAUAUGUCGAUCGACCACACACAAGAAACCAACACAACAAUGUAGUAGCCGUUGCACACAGGCCGGGCACACCGAGCAACUGUCAAACAGCUCCUACUAUUCGUCCCCAAACUAAGAAGAUGGUGGGAGAAACACACAAACCGGCCGGAGAUUAUUACAGACAUAAUGUAUAUGUCUAGGUGCGGUCAACACAUAGCUAGAGAAAUUCCUGAUCUAGAGUAGUACAGUACCGUGCCUGCUGCUAGCUAAUGCAUACAUAACAUGCCAUCCCUUGCUGCUAAUUAAGUUCAUUACAACUAGCCCAGCUCAGAUCGAACGACAACGACCAAACACACGCAAAGCAACACAACAUAGUACUACGUACUAGCUUGCACACCUUCCAGGGUUUUGGAGCCUGGACCCGAUCUUGACAUGCGAUCGAGGUAGCAAUAGCAUGCGCCUCAGACCUCCGCGCCGCCUGCGCCUUCCGCCUGGCGGGUUGCAGAAAGCCCGGACCUUGGCCACGAUGAACUUGCCGAUGCAGAAGAGGAUCCCCCCGUGAGCACGAGGAAAGGAUGAACACCACACCGGCAAAAAAGCCAUAAAAAAACCCCUUCUCGUACGGCGUCAUGCCUAGCUUAACAAGGCCAGGAGAUGGGGCAGGUGAGUGGAGAGUGUGAUCCAUGGGUGCGGAGGUGAACUUGAACAUGACCAGGCCCGGGUGGGAGGAAGGAGAUGGAGGGGUUAUAAAGACAGCCGUCUCUCUCUCUCUCUCUCUCUCUCUCUCUCUCUCUCUCUCUCUCACACACACACACACAAGCACACACACACACACACAGGCGCUCACGCGGGAGCUCUAGUCCAGUCCAUGUCCGUGUCCAUGGCUGUGCAGGCAGGCAGGCAUGUCCGCAUGCGGUUGAGCCCUUCUCAAAUGAGGAAAACGCGGCCAGCUAAGAGCAUCUCCAACAGCCGCGCUAAACUAGCGCCGCGCCGUAAAUUAGGCUGUUUUAGCGCGCGCGCAACGCGGCGGGUCGCUCCAGCGGGCGUGCAAAAAGCGCGCGCGCGCUAUAUCGGGUUGGGCGCGCGGUCGAAAACACUUAGCCGUGCGGUGUAUUUGGGGCGCCCGCUGCAGCGCGCGGCACACUCCAGCGCUCGUGCCCGCACUUCCUCUCCCACUUCCACCCCCCGUCCGGCCGCGCCGCCGUCGCCGCCCGCGCCCCCCGGCGACUGUUCAGGCUUCCCCGGCCUAUCCCCGCGCGCCCGCGCUUCCGCCCCAUCCCCUCCUAGUCCCGCUGGCGCUCGCGCGCCUCCGUCGUCCGAGGAACAGCGCUCGCUGCCGCGCCGCGCCCGCAAGGUGUUUGAAAAAACGCCUACAAGGUAUGUAUUGCUCAAACUUCAUGAAUUUGAUGCAUGUUUUGAAUUGUAGUUUUUAUAGUAUAGUAUUGAACAUUGUAGAUGAGUUCGUCGUAUGAUUCUUCCGAAGAAGAAUUUGAUAUGGAAGAGGAGGAGGAUCUUGCAAUGAUCCUAGCUAUGCAUAUAAAAAAACCGAAGCACGGUGGUUCGGUUAUGGGUCGGCAGAAAAUUUGGAGGGAUAGGAUCGAUGCCCACAACAGAUUGAUCAGGCAUUAUUUUGCGGAGGAUCCCAUAUACCCCGAGUCGUAUUUUCGUCGCCGGUUUAGGAUGAGCACCGAGUUGUUCAGGCGCAUUGCAGAGAAACUAGCGAGCCAUGAUCGUUUUUUUCAGCAAAGGAGGAAUGCCGCCGGAGAGCUCGGGCAUAGCACCUUUCAGAAGGUGACAGCCGCUUUGCGUAUGUUGGCAUACGGUAUACCGGCUGAUCUUGUUGAUGAUCACUUGGCUAUGGGUGAGAGCCAAGCCAUCAUGUGUGUCAAGCGCUUUGCAGUGGGAAUUGUGCAAGUGUUUGGCGAGGAGUAUUUGAGAUCUCCCAAUGCUGAAGACGUCGCAAGGCUAUUGGCGAUGAACAAAGCUCGCGGUUUUCCUGGCAUGCUUGGCUCAAUAGAUUGCAUGCAUUGGAGUUGGAAGAAUUGUUCAAAGGCAUGGCAUGGGCAAUUCCAAGGCCAAAAAAAGGGUUCCACUAUAAUCCUUGAAGCGGUGGCCGAUCAGGAGACUUGGAUUUGGCAUGCAUUCUUUGGAAUGCCUGGAUCUUUGAAUGACAUCAAUGUUGUCAACCGGUCACCACUGAUGAAUAAGAUUGCAAACGGUGAGUUGCCACCGGUGCGGUUUGUAGCAAAUGGCCGUACGUACAACUAUGGCUAUUAUCUAGCGGAUGGCAUCUAUCCAAAGUGGCAAACCUUCGUGAAGCCGUUGAAAAAGCCGGAAGGUAAGAAAAAUCUUGACUUCCACAAUGCUCAUGCGGCGGCUAGAAAAGAUGUGGAGAGAGCAUUUGGGAUUUUGCAAGCCCAAUUUGCUAUUGUGAGAGGACCGGCUAGAUUUUGGGAUCAAAAAAUGCUUUGGUACAUCAUGCAUGCUUGUGUGAUCAUGCACAAUAUGAUCAUCGAGAAUGAGCGUGGCCAAGAUUUAGACUACUCACAGUAUGAGCUCUUGGGAUAUCCCGUGCGAGUGCGACGGAGGGCUGAAAGGGUAGCCCGUUUUAUUGCCUCCUAUCAUGCCAUUCGGCGUCCCGCAACGCACAAUAAACUUCAGAAUGAUUUGAUUGAAGAGUGGUGGGCAUGGCAUGGACGAUAAAGAGCAUGAUGAUAUCUGUAUUCGACAUUGUAUUGUUCAUGAACUAUUUGUUGUGUUUAUUGCAUUUGUUGUACUGAACGAUAAACUAUUUGUUUGAGUUGUAAUGAUAACAAAAUUGAACUAUUUAUUGUUGAUUUAUUUUGUUUGUUUGAUCAGUUUUGCUCAUAAUACAUGUAUAUGUGGUUUGUGCGGCGCGCUGUAUUUUUGCGCUCCGUUGGAGCGGCGCGCGCGCUGCAUUAUAACGCGGCUGUUGGAGCCAACGCAGGCGGGCGCGCUAAACCAGGCGAAGCGCGCGCGGCAAACAAGUUUUUUGCACGCGGCGCUUAGCGCGGCUGUUGGAGAUGCUCUAAGGUAACCUGCAUUGAUGCAGCAGCACAUGUGAUCCAUCCAUCGAGAUAGGUAGCCAGGGGCGUCAUUUUCACCUCCAGGGAGUAGCAUGCUGAAUUGCUGAUGCACCGGCGACCUCUGCUGCAAAGUAAAUUAAACCAGUGCAUCCCAUGCACCCACGGGCUACAUCGAUCGAUCAUAUAUUUCUAUCUGUGUGCUGCUCGCAUUAACGGGCGUACGGGGCUAGCUCAUGGUACAUUCGCUCAUCCACAAAGUCCACGCGUACAUUAGACGGGGCGCCAUUUUUGCACUGAGAAAAGCUAGAUAAAGCUCACUAGAGAUAAUCCAGGACAAAGCUUGAGGCGCCAUCGAUCGGUCUUGGCAUACGUGGUGGCCUGGAGACGGAAAGCAGGUUGAGGAUGGAUGGAGCAUGAAGAAGAGCUGGUUUUGCAGUGUUGAAAGGGAGGUGAGAUUCAUCGGGUGACUCCACUGCAGGGGCAUGGUCAUGGACCACGCGUCACCUUUCAUGUAUCAGGAAACGCGCGUAAAAGGCUCUGCGCUUGUAAUUUGGCCCGGACUAGCAACCUGUGGAAAAAUGGACACGGUGAAUUGAAGCAUACAUGUGAGAUAGCAGGCGGUAGGAGCCCAUGCCCGCCCAGCCCGUCAUGCUUGCUAGUAGACCUGAUUCAAAACCGUGGGAGCCAACAGAUUAAGAGCAACACACGCCGCAUGGUCGAUGCCGUUGGAUGAAUCUGUAUAUAUGUAAAUAAAAUGCUGAAAGACUAUCACUAGUAGAAAACAGGGCUUUGGUCACAGGGCAAUAUUCACAUUAGUUUCGGUUCAGUCACGAACCGGGACUAAUGUGAGCAUUGGUCCCGGUUCGUGCGGCUAAGGCAUUAGUCCCGGUUCACCUGAGCCCUUUAGUCUCGAUUUGAGACACGACCCGAGACUAAAGGGUGCGAUGCCCUUUAGUCCCGGUUUGUGUCUCAAAUCGGAACUAAAGAGAUGAGCACCCUUUAGUCCCGGUUCGUGUCUCAAACCGGGACUAAAGGUCCCAUUUCCAAACUCUACCCCCCUAGAUCGCCUUUUUUGUUUUGAAAAAAAUCAAAAGAAAAUGAUAAAAACUUCAAAAAAUAAAAUCCUUCGAGAGGUAGUUAUAUUACUACAUCUACUAGUUAGGAAAAUUUAAAAACUUAAAUUUGGACAUGUUUUGUAAAAAAUGUAGGGAAAAUGUAAAACGGCUAUAACUUUUGCAUACGAUAUAGGAAAAAACGUAUAAUAUAUCAAAAUCUUCAGAACGAAAAUCCGCUUCCGAUUUUGACGGCCUACGGCCUGUUUGCAAAUUUUUAGAAUCUUCAAAUUCUAAAAGGAAAAAAAAGUUAUGCUCAAAUUUCAGUUUUUUUGUAUUUUCGUUAAAUCUGGUCAAACUACUUAUUCAAGAAGUAUUAGUGUUAUUAAAUAAUUAUUCAAGAAUAUUACUGUUACUAAAUAAUUAUUUUAGUUUUUUUUAAUUUUUGUCAAAUCUGGUCAAAUUGUGGUCUAACAAUGGUCAAACUACUUAUUCAAGAAAUAUUAGUGUUACUAAAUAAUUAUUUCGUUUUUUUUUGAAUUUUGGUCAAAUCUGGCUAAACUGUGGUCAAAAUAUUUAUUCAAGAAAUAUUAGUGUUACUAAAUAAUUAUUGUUUUGUACAAUAAUACUAGUUUUAAACUUAAACAGUGAAAUGUGUGACUUCAUGCUCAAGCUAAACUCUCGAGGGUUAAUAUGAUUGACAUCUUAUUAUUGUCAGGAAAACAACAAGUGCAGACUUGGAAACGAAGGAGAAUAGAACCCGAAAAUUAAGCGUGCUCGGGCUGGAGUAGUGAGAGGGAUGGGUGACCGGUCGGUAAGUUAGAUGAUUUGAAAUGAUGAGGGAUGAUUAGAGAUUAGAUAUUAAGUUGAGCAGUGAUGAGGGGUGGGUGAUUGGAGUAAAUUAUAAAAUAAUUCAGAAAUUUAAAAAUCGAGAAAAAAUUUCAAAAAGAAAAAUUUACCUUUAGUCCCGGUCAACCGAGACUAAAGGUGGAGCGCGAAGCAGAACGAACGAGACGGUGUGCCCGUCUGCUCACAGUCUUCACAAGGCAUGCAAUUUUUGGGAGCAACAGUUCUUCGAGUUAGGAGUUCGGUCCACACAUCUUAAUUUAUAACGAUAAAUCUAAAAAAAUCCGACGUUAGACUUUUAGCCAUCUCGGGAGAACAUGAUGCAUGGUUGUCAUUGGGUUAGCGCAUGAAUCUUGAAGCGGGGGACAGCAAACACGUCAGCAUACAAGACCACUGUGUCUUGUACUCUUGCUCAUCCUUACUCCCACCAUGCUUCUUUAAACCCCCGUCCCAAUUUUCCUAACGCCGCCCCAUCUCAUUUCCUCCCUCCCUGCUCACCGCCAUGGCAAGGGCGGCCAGGACGCGCACUCUGGGUGGGAUCGGUGCGCACACACGUAGCUCACGGGACGGGCUACGAGCACGACCAACAAAGAACAUUUGCCGACGCAAGUCGUGCUCGUGCUGGAACCAAGUGUUCCAGUGCGGCGAGUCCACGUCAUACCUGUGGUCGGCGAGGAGGUGGCGCAGGAUACGAGCUCGCCUACGAUUGAUCUUNNNNNNNNNNNNNNNNNNNNNNNNNNNNNNNNNNNNNNNNNNNNNNNNNNNNNNNNNNNNNNNNNNNNNNNNNNNNNNNNNNNNNNNNNNNNNNNNNNNNNNNNNNNNNNNNNNNNNNNNNNNNNNNNNNNNNNNNNNNNNNNNNNNNNNNNNNNNNNNNNNNNNNNNNNNNNNNNNNNNNNNNNNNNNNNNNNNNNNNNNNNNNNNNNNNNNNNNNNNNNNNNNNNNNNNNNNNNNNNNNNNNNNNNNNNNNNNNNNNNNNNNNNNNNNNNNNNNNNNNNNNNNNNNNNNNNNNNNNNNNNNNNNNNNNNNNNNNNNNNNNNNNNNNNNNNNNNNNNNNNNNNNNNNNNNNNNNUGGGCAUCGAACAACGGCGGCGGGGUGCCGGUCCCCCAGUAGCGCCGGUAUAUGUCCACCUUCACAUACGGCCGAAAGCGUGGAGGGGCUGCCGGAGGUGAGAUGGAGAAUUUCGGCGGCGAUGUGGAGUACACGGUCGCGCUGCGUGAAGACGCGGAGGACAACCCCGCCUCGUGGUUGUGCUUGGCCUUCUCAUCGGGCACCCACUUCCACAUGCCCAUUGUGGCAGUCGGCGGGGAGCAAGGGCCGAGUUUGGAUUUGGAUCCUGCUUGGGAGUUUUUUUUUACAUUCAACACCUCCUUUAUUAAUUGACUACAAUUGUAGCAUCAGAAACCAGAAGAGGAACAACAGCCAUCGGGGCUGCUUCCAUCCAUACAUUAGGAGGAGUGAAUCUAGCUAAUUCGUGGGCUACUUUAUUGUUCUCUCUAUAACAAUGUUCAAAAACAAUAUUAUUGAAAUCUAAGGAAAUGAAAAAACAAUCAUCAAAGAUCGCGCUGACCACCGAAGAUGAGUAUCCCUCUUUGAGUGCUGAGAUAACCUCCACGCUGUCUGAAUUCACUUCAAUUUUGUUGCACCCAACUGUACGGGCGAGGUUGAGUCCAAACCUAACUGCAAUGGCCUCUGCAGUGGAAGCAUCAUAGCAUAUUUCCAGUUUUUCAUUCGCGGCAGCUAUGAAUUUACCAUUAUGGUCUCUGAUGACAGCACCGACAGAACCUUCAAGUGAAUCGGGACCAAAUCCCACAUCCACGUUUAGUUUGGCGUAAUCCGUCCUUGGUCUUGUCUAGCCACCCACGCGAAUUUUCGGCUUUGAGGAACACGCAUCAGUAAAGUUUGCUGCCAAGGCUCGAACAACAAGGUUGAUCUGUGCCGCAGAUUGUGAAACAUCUCCAUGUGCAAUCUUCCUCCUUUCCCACCACAAAAACCAAUAGCAUGUAGCAACAGUUUCUCUCAGUUUUGGCAGACCUAGCACAUGGACAUGAUUGUCUGGUAAGCUGAGAAGAAAUUCCGACACUACCUCGCCGGACACACUAAUCUGUAGUCCAUUCUUUAUCACAUCCAGCACUCCCAGGAGUUUCCAUACCUGCACCGCAACAGGGCAUUCAAAAAGAAGGUGGCGGAUGCUCUCCGGUCCUUGAUUGCAUACUGGGCAGUGUGGCUUGAUCUUGAUAUGUCUAUCAGCAAGAAUGGAACGGCAUGGAAUAGCACUAAGAAGUACUCUCCAGACAAAAAAUUUAAUCUUUGAUGGGCAACUCAGACUCCACACCAAAUCCCAAGCAGGUGUUGGCGCGGAUGAGCACUCCAUGUCCUGCAGAUUGUGGCCAAACUUUGCUUCCCACACGGUAUGAUAUGCUGAUUUCACUGUGAACACUCCUGUUUUAGUGAAGCUCCAUGCUACAAAAUCUGUCAUUUCAUGUACUGGAAGUGGGAUUGCAAGAAUUCUCUGAGCAUCAACACUACAAAAAGUUUGGUUCACAAGCAGCGAAUCCCAGUCACCUGACACUAGAUCAAUAAGUUCUGACACCCGCGAGAGGUGAUGAUUUCCUCUACUAGAUAUAACUUUCCUGGAUGGUGAUUGUGGGAUCCAACUAUCCUCCCAUAUCUUAAUUUUUUGUCCAUCACCCACCCUCCAAAUGUGUCCAUGUUGGGGAUCGUAGCAGAAAUUUAAAAUUUUCUACGCAUCACCAAGAUCAAUCUAUGGAGUCAUCUAGCAACGAGAGGGAGAGGAGUGCAUCUACAUACCCUUGUAGAUCGCGAGCGGAAGCGUUCAAGAGAACGGGGUUGAUGGAGUCGUACUCGUCGUGAUCCAAAUCACUGAAGAUCCUAGCGUCGAACGGACGGCACCUCCGCGUUCAACACACGUACGGAGCGAUGACGUCUCCCGCGCCUUGAUCCAGCAAGGAGGAGGGAGAGGAAAAGGAAGAGGGCUCCAACAGCAGCACGACGGCGUGGUGGUGGUGGAGCUGUAGUACUCCAGCAGGGCUUCGCCAAGCUCUUGCGGAGGAGGAGAGGUGUUGGGGAAGGGAGGGGCUGCGCCUUGGAUGGUGUGUGUAGCCCUCCCCUUGCCCCUCUAUAUAUAGGGGAAGGAGGAAGGGGGCCGACCCCCUCUAGAUGAGAUCUAGAGGGGGGGGGGCAAGGGGAGGGAGCUUGCCCCCCAAGCAAGGGGGGCGCCCCCUUUAGGGUUCCCCCCCCCCAACCCUAGGCGCAUGGGCCCAAGGGGGGAUGCGCCUAGCCCAUGUAGGGCUGGUUCCCUUUCCUCUACAGCCCAUUAGGCCCUCCGAGAGAGGUGGCCCCUCCAGGUGGACCCCCGUAACCCCUUCGGUGGCCCCGGUACAAUACCGAUAUGCCUCCGAACCUUUCCGGUGACCGUAUGACAACUUCCUACAUAUAAAUCUUCACCUCCGGACCAUUUCGGAACUCCUUGUGACAUCCGGGAUCUCAUCCGGGACUCCGAACAACAUUCAUUAAUCACAUACAAGUCUUCCUAAUAACCCUAGCGUCAUCGAACCUUAAGUGUGUAGACCCUACGGGUUCGGGAACCAUGCAGACAUGACCGAGACAACUCUUCGGUCAAUAACCAACAGCGGGAUCUGGAUCUGGAUACCCAUGUUGGCUCCCACAUGUUCCACGAUGAUCUCAUCGGAUGAACCACAAUGUCGAGGAUUCAAGCAACCCCGUAUACAAUUCCCUUUGUCAAUCGGUACGUUACUUGCCCGAGAUUCGAUCGUCGGUAUCCCAAUACCUUGUUCAAUAUCGUUACCGGCAAGUCACUUUACUCAUUACGUAAUGCAUGAUCCCGUGACCAACUACUUAGUCACACUGAGCUUAUUAUGAUGAUGCAUUACCGAGUGGGCCCAGAGAUACCUCUCCGUCAUACGGAGUGACAAAUCCCAGUCUUGAUUCAUGCCAACCCAACAGACACUUUCGGAGAUACCUGUACUGCACCUUUAUAAUCACCCAGUUACGUUGUGACAUUUGGUACACCCAAAGCACUCCUACGGUAUCCGGGAGUUGCACAAUCUCAUGGUCUAAGGAAAUGAUACUUGACAUUCAGAAAAGCUCUAGCAGACGAACUACACGAUCUUGUGCUAUGCUUAGGAUUGGGUCUUGUCCAUCACAUCAUUCUCCUAAUGAUGUGAUCCCGUUAUCAAUGACAUCCAAUGUCCAUGGUCAGGAAACCGUAACCAUCUAUUGAUCAACGAGCUAGUCAACUAGAGGCUCACUAGGGACAUGUUGUGGUCUAUGUAUUCACACAUGUUUUAUGAUUUCCGGAUAACACAACUAUAGCAUGAACAAUAGACAAUUAUCAUGAACAAGGAAAUAUAAUAAUAACCAUUUUAUUAUGUCGCGACCGACUUUCCGGGAAAUAAAUUUCCAGAAAAGACCGUCGUGCUCAUCAGCCCCAGGAUUACUGUUAGCUGAUGAGGCUCCAACUUGAUACAGAAAUUCCAAGCAACAUACAAAAUAUGCAGUACAAGACCAUUCUGGCCUGUGAGUACAACAAAUGGUUUCUAGUGGUUGAUGGCGGAAGCGGUUUGUGGAUCAUCAGUGUCUAUGGGACUCCAAUUCCCACAGGAACAGCUGACCAGGUUAACUCCUAUCUUCGCGAGGCUGCUAUCUCCAUUGCUUAGGUUCCGGGCUGUCAUCGCGUCACUCCUCUCCGUGCAGGAAAAUCUGGCCAAGACAAUAGCCAGGGACAAGCCAGUGAGUACUUUGAAUGUACUCGCAAACAUUAUGAACACAGGUAUAAUAUAACAAUGAUAUGCCGAAAAUAUUUUUUAUGCUCAUGACGUCAGUCACAAUAGAUGAAUGAAACUCUGAUGCGUGCAAGCAAGUUAUUCAUAAAACUGCAAUAACAUGGUAGUAUAAAAACUUAUGAAAACAAAUAACAAGCAAUGCCACAGUCGGGCGUCUGAGCGACGCCACAUAAAGGGCUUUAAAAGAAAUGCCAUAGUCGGGCGUCUGAGCGACACCACAUAAAGGGCUUUAAAAGAAAUGCCACAGUCGGGCGUCUGAGCGACGCCACAUAAAGGGCUUUAAAAGAAAUGCCACAGUCGGGCGUCUGAGCGACGCCACAUAAAGGGCUUUAAAAGAAAUGCCACAGUCGGGCGUCUGAGCGACACCACAUAAAGGGCUUUAAAAGAAAUAAUCAUAAUGAAUAUCCCGGAGGUAGAACCAUCCCAGAGAUACUCGGUAAUAAUAUCACGGGUUAGUCAAUAAUAAUAAUAAUCAUCGAUAUCACAAGUCACGAGUAGUAAUUCCAUUUCUGGUUAACCGUUUCACCUCCGAAGACCGACACUAAGACCGACACCUGACCCAUCCCAGACUGUAAUCCUUAACCAUGGACACGGCUAUUCGAAUAGGUUUAUUCUCUGCAGAGGGUGUACUCUUUACCCACGAGUAACGGAUUUCUUUAGUCCAUCGGGACUAAUUCCGUCUACGGUCUUUUUGUUGAAAACACACCUAACUUGCACACACCAGCUUAUCACACACGUGCCUGGAAUCACCCACGACACCUGUUAAGCAAACUCUAAGUGGGGAGGCUACAACCUCACGUAGCAUGGGAUCAAAUUUAUAUCGCGCGCUCUAAGGGGUGGCCUCCCCUCUCGGUCCCAACCGGAAACACCCAUGCUCCCGGACCAGGUGGCCUGCCUACCAGUUACAACCGGUAUCUUCCACCAUGGCCUCUCUGUACGGUGUGUGCUAGAAAGAGGUUGACAACUUACUGAACCGUACUCUACUUGUUGUAGAGACGAGUGGUAGUACGAAACAAGUAUGGGGGUUACUGGAACAAGACUUGAUCUACGGUCGACUCAGGAGGUUCAAGUAUUCCCUGCAUGAUUAGUAUAACAAAUAUAUUUCAUCAAACAGAGUCACCACUCAUAUCACCCUACCAUGCCAUGCCAGACAGAACCGUCCCGACGGAGACCGGCGACAAACUCAUACCUACCCAAGGCAGAGGUUUUCCCGGGUUCCUGCCGGUAUGCAUGUCAAGCUCAUGAGGGUGAUUAUCAUCACAAGUGUGUCCAUUACCAACAGCAUGGAAAUCAGUAACACCCAUGCAUAUGAUCAUAUCACAUGAAAUAACAAGUCCUUCGAAAUGCGGUGGAGUUAUAAAUGCAUCAAUGAUCACUCCAAAAAAAUUAUUAUGCCGGGGUUCAGAAUGCUUGCCUUCAAUGUGUGGAAAGGCAGGGUGCUUUCCAAACUUUUGAAAGUUUCUUCUCUCUCCCAAAAAUCCUAUUUGAAAAUAUAUUUGAAUUAACACAUAUUUCAAAAACAUAACCAAAAAGUUGUUUGAAUUUUUUUUAAUAAAUCUUAAAAUAAACUAGAUCAAAUUUGAAGAAGGUAGGAAAAAGAAUCAACUCAUUUGGACUUAUAUUUAAAAAGUUAUAGCCAGUCAAAGAUUUGGUCAAAAUCUGUUUUUAAAUAAAAUAGAAAAAGAAAACGUUUCAGAUAGAAAUACGCCUUCGGUACAGAGGAGGCGUACUUGAGGCUUUACGCCUCCACUUAACCACGCGGACGGCGCGGGGUGUCACUGACAGUGGGCCUGCCUGGCCCACUGGUCAGGUUUGACCAGUCACCGCGCGUCGUCUCCCUCCUUUGCCCGAGCGGAGCGGGGCUCCGGCGAUCGUCGCCGGCGUUUGGCUGCUCCUCGCGGGCCCCCGAGGGUGGGGAUGGAUCCGCAAGGUUGAGGCAAUCCUCCCGGUAGUCGCUGGGUCGGCGGGGACGGCGUGAGCUGUCGGCGGCGAGCUCCUCGGCGGAGGGAAGCUUCGGGGAAAAGUGGUUUCGGGGUGGCGGUGGUUCUUGAUCGAAAUGGAGUAGGGGGAAGGUUUACGGGAGGAUGAGGGGGUUCUUGGUGGAGAGAACGGAGGAUGGGAGGCCCUGGUGGUGCCGAAUUGGCCGGGGCAGUGGUGGCGGCUGCCGUUGCCGGAGAUGGGGAUGAAGACCUUCCCCGAGUCGAUUGGCUGCCAUGGGAGGACUAGGGGAGCACUCUAAGGCUUCCUGCGUGCCCGGGGUGGCUCGGGACCUCCUCUUAUAGCCCGUCGAGGUCGGUUCCGCGGCGGCCGGAUAAGCUCUCCGGCGAACCGCCUCGCUGUAGCUUGCAGGGCAACGUGGCGCGGCUGGGGAUGACGAUAAGAGCUAGUGGACGAGAGGGCACUGCUCCAGGGGCCAGGUGGCGAGCCGGGGUGGCUUGGGCGGCGCUGCACGGCGCAGGGCUGUCGGGCGGCGGUGGCGGCUAGUGUUUGGCCUGCCGGGCGCGGCGGGGGCUGCUUGGCGCGUUGCUGCGAGGAGGGGAGCGCGUGGCGUGGUGCUGCAGAGCGGGCCAAAGCCGUGGGGGCCAGCGUGUCGGCUCGGGCGCGCGGCUGCAAUACGCGCGCUCUGGGCGCGUCCAGUGCACGCACACCAGGUGUUCGACACAAUGUCGAGGCAUGCUACAGGUCGCAGGUGAGGAUGGGAUUUACCAGAUCAAGGUUAGGAGCAACGGGGAGUCUAGUGGACAUGCUGGUUUGAUCAGAGGUGCAAGUUCACAGUGCAAUGCCACAAUCAUGCCAGAACUGGUCAUGCUCUCCAGGUGUUUGGCAAAAUGCCACAUGCACUUAGGCAGGUCUUGGGGUGGCCAAAAACUCCAGAUGGGGGUCUCUUUAGAUGCAAAAGAGAGUGGUGAGGUUAGUUGGACAAAAGGGGAAACUUGCUAGUGCAAGUUUUACAAAACUUCAAUUCUGGACAGGAAAUAAAUAGCAUUAUUCCAUGAACUAAAAGUGAUCUAAAUGGUGCAUGCUCCUGGACUUAAGGGUUUAACAUGGGGGACUACAAGUAGGAGAAAUAAUUAAGGGUAUAUGAGCAACUAAAAUGGUGGUUGCUGCACAAAUCCUCAAGUUGGUCCAGAAUGGAAAUGAGGUUGAUUCACUCAAAUUUUUCAAAGAACAUAAUUAGAUUUUUGCACAAAGAGGGAUAACAGGCUCCUACUGACCUCCCUUAAUUUUGGUAGAAGUUUUAAAGAAAUAUUUAAAUAGGUUGCUGUAAAAAAAUGCACUCUGGACCAGAGAAGAAAAAUUGAGAGUAGGGCUCAAAAUAUUUCAUGAAUGAAAUAUAUUUUUGCAUAAAAGUUAUUUAAAAUCAUCACAUGACAUCUCCAAAUUUUUAUGGGAAUUUUAAGUGAAUUUAUCAAAUGGUUGUAGUUCAAAUAUGGCCAUUUAACCUAGAAAACCUUUUUCAAGAAAAUAAAGAGCAAGCAACUUAUUUAUUUAAUUAGUUAUACUGAUAAAAGGAAAGUUUUUCUUGAGAGGUUAAAUAAGUCCAAUAACAAAUUUGAAAAGUUUUCUCUUUGGGAAAACUCAUCAUAACAGGGAAGGAAAUGAUUUAAAAAAAAUCAAAAUGGAGCUCAGAAAUCCAAAGUUUUAAAUCCUGGCAAAAAUUUUAAUUUAAUAAAACAAGGCCAAAUUUUUGGGGUGUCACAUAUUUCCAACAGUCUCCCACUUGCACUAGAGUCAAUAAUCUAGUUACAUUGUGAUGAAUCGAACACCCAUAGAGUUCUGGUGUUGAUCAUGUUUUGCUCGAGGAAGAGGUUUAGUCAAUGGAUCUGCGACAUUCAGGUCCGUAUGCACUUUACAAAUAUCUAUGUCUCCAUUUUGAACAUUUUCACGAAUGGAGUUGAAGCGAUGCUUGAUAUGCCUGGUCUUUCUGUGAAACCUGAGCUCCUUGGCAAGUGCAAUAGCUCCAGUGUUGUCACAGAAAAGAGUCAUCGGGCCCGACGCAUUGGGAAUAACUCCUAGGUCGGUAAUGAACUCCUUCACCCAGGUUGCUUCUUGUGCUGCCUCCGAGGCGCCAUGUACUCCGCUUCACAUGUAGAUCCCGCCACGACGCUUUGCUUGCAACUGCACCAGCUGACUGCCCCACCAUUCAAAAUAUACAUGUAUCCGGUUUGUGACUUGGAGUCAUCCAGAUCUGUGUCGAAGCUAGCAUCGACGUAACCCUUUACGACGAGCUAUUCGUCACCUCCAUAAACGAGAAACAUAUCCUUAGUCCUUUUCAGGUACUUCAGGAUAUUCUUGACCGCUGUCCAGUGUUCCAUGCCGGGAUUACUUUGGUACCUUCCUACCAAACUUACGGCAAGGUUUACAUCAGGUCUGGUACACAACAUGGCAUACAUAAUAGACCCUAUGGCCGAGGCACAUGGGACGACAUUCAUCUUUUCUCUAUCUUCUGCCAUGGUCGGGCAUUGAGCCGUGCUCAAUCUCGUACCUUGCAACACAGGCAAGAAUCCCUUCUUUGACUGAUCCAUAUUGAACUUCUUCAAUAUCUUAUAAAGGUACGUACUCUAUGAAAGACCAAUGAGGCGUCUCGAUCUAUCUCUAUAGAUCUUGAUGCCUAAUAUACAAGCAGCUUCUCCAAGAUCCUUCAUUGAAAAACACUUGUUCAAGUAGGCCUUUAUGCUUUCCAAGAAUUCUAUAUCAUUUUCCAUCAAUAGUAUGUCAUCCACAUAUAAUAUGAGAAAUGCUACAGAGUUCCCACUCAUUUUCUUGUAAACACAGGCUUCUCCAUAAGUUUGUGUAAACCCAAACGCUUUGAUCAUCUUAUCAAAUCGAAUGUUCCAACUCCGAGAUGCUUGCAGCAACCCAUAGAUUGAGCGUUGGAGCUUGCACACCUUGUCAGCAUUCUUAGGAUCGACAAAACCUUCCGGCUGCAUCAUAUACAAUUCUUCCUUAAGGAAACCAUUAAGGAAUGCCGUUUUGACGUCCAUUUGCCAUAUCUCAUAAUCAUAGAAUGCGGCAAUUGCUAACAUGAUUCGAACGGACUUCAGCUUCGCUACGGGUGAGAAAGUCUCAUCGUAGUCAACCCCUUGAACUUGUCGAUAACCCUUAGCGACAAGCCGAGCCUUAUAGAUGGUCACAUUACCAUCCGCGUCUAUCUUCUUCUUAAAGAUCCAUUUAUUUUCUAUGGCUCGCCGAUCAUCGAGCAAGUCAGUCAAAGUCCAUACUUCGUUUUCAUACAUGGAUCCUAUCUCGGAUUUCAUGGCUUCCAGCCAUUUGUCGUAAUCUGGGCCCGCCAUCACUUCUUCAUAGUUCGAAGGUUCACCAUUGUCCAACAACAUGAUUUCCAGGACAGGGUUGUCGUACCACUCUAGUGCGGAACGUGUCCUUGUGGACCUACGAAGUUCAGUAGCAACUUGAUCUGAAGUUUCAUGAUCAUCAUCAUUAACUUCCUCUCUAGUCGGUGCAGACACCUCAGGAACAUUUUCCUGAGCUGCGCCACUCUCCGGUUCAAGAGGCAAUACUUCAUCAAGUUCUACUUUCCUCCCACUUACUUCUUUCGAGAGAAACUCUUUCUCUAGAAAGGACCCAUUCUUGGCAACAAAGAUCUUGCCUUCGGAUCUAAGGUAGAAGGUAUACCCAAUAGUUUCUUUAGGGUAUCCUAUGAAGACGCAUUUUUCCGAUUUGGGUUCGAGCUUUUCAGGUUGAAGUUUCUUUACAUAAGCAUCGCAUCCCAAACUUUUAGAAACGACAGCUUAGGUUUCUUCCCAAACCAUAAUUCAUACGGUGUCGUCUCAACGGAUUUCGACGGAGCCCUAUUUAAAGUGAAUGCGGCAGUCUCUAAAGCAUAGCCGCAAAAUGACAGCGGUAGAUCGGUAAGAGACAUCAUAGAUUGCACCAUAUCUAAUAGAGUGCGAUUACGACGUUCGGACACACCAUUAUGCUGAGGUGUUCCAGGCGGCGUGAGUUGUGAAACUAUUCCACAUUUCCUUAAGUGUGUGUCAAAUUCGUGACUCAAAUAUUCUCCCCCACGAUCUGAUAGUAAGAACUUGAUUUUCCUGUCAUGUUGAUUCUCAACCUCACUCUGAAAUUCUUUGAACUUUUCAAAGGUCUCAGACUUGUGUUUUAUUAAGUAGACAUACCCAUAUCUACUCAAGUCAUCAGUGAGGGUGAGAACAUAACGAUAGCCACCGAGAGCCUCAACACUCAUUGGACCGCACACAUCAGUAUGUAUGAUUUCCAAUAAGUUGGUUGCUCGCUUCAUUGUUCCGGAGAACGGAGUCUUGGUCAUUUUGCCCAUGAGGCAUGGUUCGCACGUGUCAAAUGAUUCAUAAUCAAGAGACUCCAAAAGUCCAUCUGCAUGGAGCUUCUUCAUGCGUUUGACACCAAUGUGACCAAGGCGGCAGUGCCACAAGUAUGUGAGACUAUCAUUAUCAACCUUACAUAUUUUGGUAUUCACACUAUGAAUAUAUGUAACAUCACGUUAGAGAUUAAAUAAGAAUAAACCAUUGACCAACGGAGCAUGACCAUAAAACAUAUCUCUCAUAUAAAUAGAACAACCAUUAUUCUUGGAUUUAAAUGAGUAGCCAUCUCAUAUUAAACGAGAUCCUGAUACAAUGUUCAUGCUCAAAGCUGGCACUAAAUAACAAUUAUUGAGGUUUAAAACUAAUCCUGUAGGUAAAUGUAGAGGUAGCGUGCCCAUGGCGAUCACAUCGACCUUGGAACCAUUCCCGACGCGCAUCGUCACCUCGUCCUUCGCCAGUCUCCGCUUAUUCCGCAGCUCCUGUUUUGAGUUACAAAUAUGAGCAACCGCACCGGUAUCAAAUACCCAGGAGCUACUACGAGUACUGGUAAGGUACACAUCAAUAUGUAUAUCACAUAUACCUUUGGUGUUGCCAGCCUUCUUAUCCGCUAAGUAUUUGGGGCAGUUCCGCUUCUAGUGACCACUUCCCUUGCAAUAAAAACACUCAGUCUCGAGCUUGGGUCCAUUCUUUGGCUUCUUCCCGGUAGCUUGCUUACCGGGCGCGGCAACUCCCUUGUCGUCCUUCUUGAAGUUCUUUUUACCCUUGCCUUUCUUGAACUUAGUGGUUUUAUUCACUAUCAACACUUGAUGUUCCUUUUUGAUUUCCACCUCCGCUGAUUUCAGCAUUGAAUAUACCUCAGGAAUGGUCUUUUCCAUCCCCUGCAUAUUGAAGUUCAUCACAAAGCUCUUGUAGCUAGGUGGGAGCGACUAAAGGAUUCUGUCAACGACCGCAUCAUCCGGGAGAUUAACUCCCAGCUGAGACAAGCGUUUGUGCAACCCACACAUUUUGAGUAUGUGCUUACUGACGGAACUAUUCUCCUCCAUCUUACAACUGUAGAACUUGUCGGAGACUUCGUAUCUCUCGAUCCGGGCAUGAACUUGGAAAACCAUUUUCAGCUCUUGGAACAUCUCAUAUGCUCCGUGUUGCUCAAAACGCUUCUGGAGCCCCGGUUCUAAGCUGUAAAGCAUGCCGCACUGAACCAGGGAGUAAUCAUCAACAUGGGACUGCCAAGCGUUCAUAACGUCUUGGUUUGCUGGGGGUGGUGCUUCACCUAGCGGUGCUUCAAGGACAUAUGAUUUCUUGCCAGCUAUGAGGAUGAUCCUCAAGUUCCGGACCCAGUCUGUAUAGCUGCUACCAUCGUCUUUCAGCUUGGUUUUCUCUAGGAACGCGUUGAAGUUGAGGACAACAUUAGCAUGGGCCAUUUGAUCUACAAGGCAUAUUGUAAAGAUUUUAGACUAAGUUCAUGAUAAUUAAGUUCAUCUAAUCAAAUUAUUUAAUGAAUUCCCACUCAGAUAGAAAUUCCUCUAGUCAUCUAAGUGAUACAUGAUCCGAUUCAACUAGGCCGUGUCCGAUCAUCAUGUGAGACGGACUAGUCAUCAUCGGUGAACAUCUUCAUGUUGAUCGUAUCUUCCAUACGACUCAUGUUCGACCUUUCGGUCUUCCGUGUUCCGACGCCAUGUCUGCACAUGCUAGGCUCGUCAAGUCAACCUAAGUGUUUUGCGUGUGUAAAUCUGGCUUACACCCGUUGUAUGCGAACGUUAGAACCUAUCACACCCGAUCAUCACGUGGUGCUUCGGAACAACGGACUUUAGCAAUGGUGCACAGUUAGGGAAAACACUUUCUUGAAAUUAUUGCGAGGGAUCAUCUUAUUUAUGCUACUGUCGUUCUAAGCAAAUAAGAUGUAAAACAUGAUAAACAUCACAUGCAAUCAAAUAGUGACAUGAUAUGGCCAAUAUCAUUUUGCUCCUUUUGAUCUCCAUCUUUGGGGCGCCAUGAUCAUCAUCGUCACCGGCAUGACACAAUGAUCUCCAUCAUCAUGAUCUCCAUCAUCGUGUCUUUAUGAAGUUGUCUCGUCAACUAUUACUUCUACUACUAUGGCUAACGUUUAGCGAUAAAGUAAAGUAAUUACAUGACGUGUAUGUUGAAACGCACGUCAUAAAUAAAUUAAGACAACUCCUAUGGCUCCUGCCGGUUGUCAUACUCAUCGACAUGCAAGUCGUGAUUCCUAUUACAAGAACAUGAUCAAUCUCAUACAUCACAUAUAUCAUUCAUCACAUCCUUUUGGCCAUAUCACAUCACACGGCAUAUGUUGCAAAAACAAGUUAGACGUCCUCUAAUUGUUGUUGCAAAUUUUUUACGUGACUGCUAUAGGUUUCUAGCAAGAAUGUUUCUUACCUACGCCAAAAACCACAACGUGAUAUGCCAAUUUCUAUUUACCCUUCAUAAGGACCCUUUUCAUCGAAUCCGAUCCGACUAAAGUGGGAGAGAGAGACCCCCGCUAGCCACCUUAUGCAACUAGUGCAUGUCAGUCGGUGGAACCAGUCUCACGUAAGCGUACGUGUAAGGUCGGUCCGGGCCGCUUCAUCCCACGAUGCCGCCGAAUCAAGAUAAGACUAGUAACAGCAAGUAAAUUGACAAAAUCGACGCCCACAACAACUUGUGUUCUACUCGUGCAUAGAAACUACGCAUAGACCUAGCUCAUGAUGCCACUGUUGGGGAUCGUAGCAGAAAUUUAAUAUUUUCUACGCAUCACCAAGAUCAAUCUAUGGAGUCAUCUAGCAAUGAGAGGGAGAGGAGUGCAUCUACAUACCCUUGUAGAUCGCGAGCGGAAGUGUUCAAGAGAACGUGGUUGAUGGAGUCGUACUCGUCGUGAUCCAAAUCACCAAAGAUCCUAGCGCCGAACGGACGGCACCCCGCGUUCAACACACGUACGGAGUGAGGACGUCUCCCACGCCUUGAUCCAGCAAGGAGGAGGGAGAGGUUGAGGAAGAGGAAUCCAACAGCAGCACGACGGCGUGGUGGUGGUGGAGCUGCAAUACUUCGGCAGGGCUUCGCCAAGCUCUUGCGGAGGAGGAGAGGUGUUGGGGAAGGGAGGGGCUGCACCUUGGAUGGUGUGGGCAGCCCUCCCCUUGCCCCUCUAUAUAUAGGGGAAGGAGGAAGGGGGCCGGCCCCCUCUAGAUCUGGUGUGUGCAGCCCUCCCCUUGCCCCUCUAUAUAUAGGGGAAGGAGGAAGGGGGCUGGCCCCCUCUAGAUGAGAUCUAGAGGGGGGCGGCGGCCAAGGGGAGGGGGCUUGCCCCCCAAGCAAGGGGGGCGCCCCCUUUAGGGUUUCCCCCCAACCCUAGGCGCAUGGGCCCAAGGGGGGGAUGCGCCCAGCCCAUGUAGGGCUGGUUCCCUUUCCUCUACAGCCCAUUAGGCCCUCCGAGAGAGGUGGCCCCUCCCGGUGGACCCCCGGAACCCUUUUGGUGGCCCCGGUACAAUACCGAUAUGCUCCUGAACCUUUCCGGUGACCAUAUGACAACUUCCUACAUAUAAAUCUUCACCUCCGGACCAUUCCGGAACUCCUCGUGACGUCCAGGAUCUCAUCCGGGACUUCGAACAACAUUCGGUAAUCACAUACAAGUCUUCCUAAUAACCCUAGCAUCAUCGAACCUUAAGUGUGUAGACCCUAUGGGUUCGGGAACCAUGCAGACAUGACCGAGACAACUCUCCGGUCAAUAACCAACAGCGAGAUCUGGAUCUGGAUACCCAUGUUGGCUCCCACAUGGUCCACGAUGAUCUCAUCUGAUGAACCACGAUGUCGAGGAUUCAAGCAAUCCCGUAUACAAUUCCCUUUGUCAAUCGGUACGUUACUUGCCCGAGAUUCGAUCGUCGGUAUCCCAAUACCUCGUUCAAUCUCGUUUCCGGCAAGUCACUUUACUCGUUACGUAAUGCAUGAUCCCGUGACCAACUACUUAGUCACACUGACCUCAUUAUGAUGAUGCAUUACCGAGUGGGCCCAGAGAUACCUCUCCGUCAUACGGAGUGACAAAUCCCAGUCUUGAUUCAUGCCAACCCAACAGACACUUUCGGAGAUAUCUGUAGUGCACCUUUGUAAUCAUCCAAUUACGUUGUGACGUUUGGUACGCCCAAAUCACUCCUACGGUAUCCGGGAGUUGCACAAUCUCAUGGUCUAAGGAAAUGAUACUUGACAUUCAGAAAAGCUCUAGCAGACGAACUACACGAUCUUGUGCUAUGCUUAGGAUUGGGUAUUGUCCAUCACAUCAUUCUCCUAAUGAUGUGAUCCCGUUAUCAAUGACAUCCAAUGUCCAUGGUCGGGAAACCGUAACCAUCUAUUGAUCAACAAACUAGUCAACUAGAGGCUCACUAGGGACAUGUUGUGGUCUAUGUAUUCACCCAUGUAUUACAAUUUCUGGAUAACACAAUUAUAGCAUGAACAAUAGACAAUUAUUAUGAAUGACGAAAUAUAAUAAUAACCAUUUUAUUAUUGCCUCUAGGGCAUAUUUCCAACACACCCACCCUCCAAAUGUGUCCAUGUUUCAAAGUUUCCACUCCUGCCAUUAUGCUUUGCCACGUAUAAGAAGCCUUCUUCUUCAACCUAGCAUUCAUAAGGUCAUCAUUAGGAUAAUACUUUGCUUUAAGAAUCUUUGCACAGAGAGAUUCAGGAUCAUCAAUAAGCCGCCAUGCUUGUUUAGCCAAUAACGCCAAAUUAAAACAAUGGAUGUCUCUAAACCCCAUUCCUCCUCUGCUCUUUGGGAUGCACAUCUUCCACCAAGUAAACCAAUGCAUUCUCUUGUGUGACGCAUCAUCACCCCACCAGUAACGCGAGAUCACAUCUCUAAUUCCUUUGCAGAUUUUCUUAGGAAUUUUAAACACAGACAUCGCGUACGUUGGUAUGGCUUGUGCAACAGCUUUGAUAAGCACUUCCUUACCUCCAGCAGACGAACAUUUUUCCUUCCACCCUGACAAUUUCAAGAUCAAUCGAUCAAUUAAUUAUUGAAAACUCUCAGUUUUGUCCAAUCCUAGGGUUGUGGGCAACCACAAAUAUUUGUCAUUCAGAGCCUCCGUCAUGAUAUUAAGAAUAAUGCAGACUUGAGACUUGAUGUUUGCAUCCGUACUAGGACUGAAAAAUACUGGAUUUAUCCACACUCACCAACUGGCCAGAAGAACCACAAUAAGAAUCCAGAACAGAUUUCAAACUUAUUGCAUUCGACACAUUAGCUUUCAUCAGAAUUAAGGAGUCAUCCGCAAACAAGAGAUUUGUAACAGAGGGUGCAUCUCGACAAACCUUAAUCCCCACAAUCUCACUUGAUUGCUCUACAUGGUUCAGUAGUGCUGUCAGUCCCUCAGUAACUAGCAAAAAUAAGUAGGGUGAUAAUGGGUCACCCUGGCGAAGGCCACGCGAAGGUUUGAUAGUAUCUGUUUCAACCGAAUUGUAUCUUACUCUGUACUCCAAUGAUACACAAACCAUGAUCAUAUUAACCCAAUCAGCCCUGAAUCCUAGUUUUAAUAGCAUUGCCUCCAAGAAAACCCACUCAACACGAUCAUAGGCUUUAUGCAUAUCCAAUUUUACCGCACACCAUCGCUUUUUACCUUUUUUCUUCUGUUUAAUUGCAUGGAGACUCUCGUAGGCUAUUAAGACAUUGUCAGUGAUGAGCCUCCCUGGAACAAAGGCACUCUGUGUGGGACCAAUGAUUUCUGGGAGCAAAAUUUUCAGUCUUGUAGCAAUCAUCUUUGAAAUAGUUUUAUAGACCACAUCGCACAAGCUAAUAUGUCUGAACUAUGUAACUUUCUCAGGUGUGUUUACCUUGGGGAUCAUAACAAUAGUUGUGUCAUUCCAUCCUGGUGGCAUCACCUGUGAGUUAACUGCAGUAAGAACUUCCAUCACAAGAUCUUCCCCUAGCAUUGGCCAAAACCUCUUAUAAAAAACUGCAUGCAAUCCAUCCGGCCCGGGAGCUUUAAGGUCACCAAUCGAGAGUGUUUGGGAGUUGGCUUCCUAAGUGGGUCAUAUUUAAGCUGGUCGGCCUGGGGGGUGGGGGUUGCAAUUCAAGAGACGUGUCAUGUAGUACGUCGUUCAUCGUCUUCAGGCAAAGAAAGGUAGGAGGAAGCUGGAGAGCUGCGCGCACGACCGCAACUGCGCUGCACAAGCUUUUUGGUUCCGUUGCAUUUGUCAUGUUGUGCUCAACUGACGGUGCGCCACCUCCCUCUCCCUCUCCCUCCCCCUUGUGACGCUGACGCACGCACGACGCCGUUCUUGGUGCCGACCGAUUUUUCUUCAGGAGAGGAGACCAACGGAAAAUUGCACUCGAUUGGGGCGUUGACCGGAGUCAAACUAAACUACUCGACCUUGAGCUUGCUUUCCUUCGUACGUGUUGAUUUUCAUUUGGUUUGUUCCACCAUGGCCGUACCUGUACGUAGUCUUGUAACCCAGCUUAUAUAUUCAUGCGUGAUACUACUAGAGAUGUGCGCGCGCAUGAUAGCUUUGCUUAACCCGGCGGUGCGCCACACCUUUUUCCCCCGGGUAAUAUAUCGUACGGGCUGGCCUGGCUAGCUAGCUGCAAUUUGUAGACUAGGAGAGUGUGAUUCGAAAAUUCCGCAAUGUAGGAGUAUAUAUACGAAGGCCAAGUAUCACAGCAUAGUGAAAGAAAAAUCUACAAACUUGUCUUUUGUUUUUGUAGGCCACGGAUCUACAACAAAUUAUCUCCCACUACACUCUGUUUAGAAAAGCAGAUAACCUUUUUUUCUCAAGGCAAAGCUUGCAGGUUUCAACCAAAGAACUCAACACUUCAAUUAACUUGGAAUGGAGAUAUUACUAGCUAGUGUACGUGCUCCUAGCUAAUUAACCUAGCUCCAUCCUUGCAUCUACGAGCAUGCAAAUAACCACAUAACAGCGCACAGGGCACACCGAGCAACUGUCAAACAGCUCCUGCAUGCCAUGCAUUCGUCGCCAAAUUAAGAAGAUCGAGGGAGAAACACACGAAGCGGCGGGAGAUUAUUACAAACAUAAUACUAGGAGUAGAUGCCUGCUGCGGCCAACACAUAGCUAGAGAAACUCUAGAUCUAGAGUAGUACAGUACCAUGCCUGCUGCUAAUGCAUACGCAGUACAUACCGUGCCAUCCCUUGCUGCUAAUACAUAGCUCAGAUCGAACCACCAAACACAGGCAACGCAGCACUACAUAUAUACUACAGCAGCUUGCACACCUUGAACCAUGAUCUUGACGUGCGAUGGAGGUGGCACGCACCUCAGACGGCCGCGCCGCCUGCGCCUUCCGGCUGGCCGCCAGCCCCGUGGUUGCCGCCGUCGCCUCGGCAAGCCUGAACCACCCUCACAAAGAUCUUGACGAUGCAGAGGAGGAUCACCCCCGUGAGCACGACAGCAGGGAUGAACAGCACACAGGCAAAAAAGCCAUCCCAAAAACCUUUCUCGUACGGCGUCAUCGCUAGAGGAGGAGGUGGAGAUGAGUGGAGAGUGCGACACAGAGCUGAACUUGAACAAAGACCAGGCCGGGGUGGGAGAAAGGAGAUGGAGGGGUAUAAAGACAGCGGGCUAUCUCUCUCUCUCUCUCUCUCUCUCACACACACACACACACACACACACACACACACACACACACACACACACACACACACACACAAGCCAGGAUGGAGGAUGGUUUUGCAGAGUGGCAAGGGAAGAUGAGAUUCAUCGGGUGACCGGAGCAGACAUGGUCAUGGACCACGUUUCGUGUAUCCGGAAAGCCGCGUAAAAGCCUCAGAGGUUGUAGUUUAGCUCAGACUAGCAAGCUGUGAAAAAGAAAGAGGAAACUGCAGUAAAUAAACUCAGUGAAGCAUGCAUGUGAGAUACCACACGGUGCGAGCCCAUGCCGCCGGCUGCCGAGCCUGGCAUGCUUUGCUACAGCUGAUUCAAAACCGUGGGAGCCAACAAAGAGAAAAACGCGUUGCACAAUCGAGACAUGUCGCUGAUAAGUUGGCCAACCACUGUGUCUUCCUCAUCUUUACUGCUUGGGAUUACACGCGCGUUCCGGCAAAGCAGAACGAGGCAGUGUGCCCAUCUGCUCAGUCUUCACAAGGCAUGCAGUUUUUGGGAGUUCGGUCCAUCACAUCUAAUUAACGAUAAAGCUAAAAAAUCUGAUGUCAGAUUUUUAGCCAUCUUAGGAGCGUGCUGCUUGUCAUUGGAUUAGCGCACGAAUCUUGAAGUGGGGGACAAUAAACACGUUAGCAUAGAAAAACGUUCGUUGAAAUUGAGCGGCGGCACAAACACAGUCUUCUCUCCCGAUGCUUUUUUGAAUCCCCAUCCCCAUUUUUCCUGACACUGCCCCAUCUCGCUUCUUCCAUCCCUGCUCGCCGGCGCGGCGAGGGCGGCCUCGCCUUCUCCAGGGUCACCGUCCAUUUCUCUAGUCCCCCUGCUCAUCGGUACACUAAAGGUGGCCUCACCUUCGCAGGGGCACGAGCGCGGCAAGCCCGCUCAAGCCGAGGAAACGUACAAAUGACCGCGCAUGCCCCAGUUGAGGAAGUGGACGAUAGCUUGAAGCGGGGGACAACAAACACGUCAGCACGGAGAAACGUUUGCUGAAAUUGAGCGGUGACACAAACGCAAUAUACUUCUCUGAAUCCUCAUCCCCAUUUUCCCGACGCUGCCAAUCUCGCUUCCUCCCUCUUGCUCGCCGGCACGGCGAGGGCGGCCUCGCCUUCUCCAGGAUCGCCGCCCAUUUCUCUAGCCCCCUGCUCACUGGUGCAGUGAGGGCGGCCUCACCUUCGCAAGGGGCGUGAGCGCGGCGAACCCGGUCGAUCUGAGGAAACGUACAAUGACCGCAUGUGCCCCAAUUGGAGGAGGUGGACGGGAGGCCACGAUGCUAGCCCCCGAGAUGCAACGACUCAAGGACCUCGCCAGCACCAAGUCGAUGUGCGGCAAGAUCCCAUCGAGCAUGUUAGGGGCAACGAGGCUGAGGAGGGGAGCUGGAGCGCGAUACCUUGGCCUCCCCUAUCUAUCCACCGCCUUAGGAAGAUCGACCUCCUAUAUCUCGUGGACAAGGUUGCAGGGAAGCGUCCCUUGGCAGGUGUUGGAAAUAUGCCCUAGAGGCAAUAAUAAAUUAGUUAUUAUUAUAUUUCCUUGUUCAUGAUAUUCGUUUAUUAUCCAUGCUAGAAUUGUAUUGAUAGGAAACUCAGAUACAUGUGUGGAUACAUAGACAACACCAUGUCCCUAGUAAGCCUCUAGUUGACUAGCUCGUUGAUCAAUAGAUGGUUACGGUUUCCUGACCAUGGACAUUGGAUGUCAUUGAUAACGGGAUCACAUCAUUAGAAGAAUGAUGUGAUGGACAAGACCCAAUCCUAAGCAUAGCACAAGAUAAUGUAGUUCGCAUGCUAAAGCUUUUCUAAUGUCAAGUAUCAUUUCCUUAGACCAUGAGAUUGUGCAACUCCCGGAUACCGUAGGAAUACUUUGGGUGUGCCAAACGUCACAACGUAACUGUGUGGCUAUAAAGGUGCACUACGGGUAUCUCCGAAAGUGUCUGUUGGGUUGGCACGAAUCGAGACUGGGAUUUGUCACUCCGUGUGACGGAGAGGUAUCUCUGGGCCCACUCGGUAGGACAUCAUCAUAAUGUGCACAAUGUGAUCAAGGAGUUGAUCACGGGAUGAUGUGUUACGAAACGAGUAAAGAGACUUGCGGGUAACGAGAUUGAACAAGGUAUCGGGAUACCGACGAUCGAAUCUCGGGCAAGUACAAUACCGCUAGACAAAGGGAAUUGUAUACGAGAUUGAUCGAAUCGUCGACAUCGUGGUUCAUCCGAUGAGAUCAUCGUGGAACAUGUGGGAACCAACAUGGGUAUCCAGAUCCCGCUGUUAGUUAUUGAUCGGAGGACGUCUCGGUCAUGUCUGCAUGGUUCCCGAACCCGUAGGGUCUACACACUUAAGGUUCGAUGACGCUAGGGUUAUAAAGGAAGUUUGUAUGUGGUUACCGAAUGUUGUUCGGAGUCCCGGAUGAGAUCCCGGACGUCACGAGGAGUUCCGGAAUGGUCCGGAGGUAAAGAUUUAUAUAUGGGAAGUCCUGUUUUGGUCACCGGAAAAGUUUCGGGUUUUAUCGGUAACGUACCGGGACCACCAGGAGGGUCCCGGGGGUCCACCAAGUGGGGCCACCGGCCCCGGAGGGCUGCAUGGGCCAAGUGUUGGAGGGGACCAGCCCCAGGUGGGCUGGUGUGCCCUCCCACAAGGGCCCAAGGCACCUAAGGGGAGGAAGGGGGCAAACCCUAAGGGCAGAUGGGCCUUAGGGCCCAUGCCUGGUGCGCCUCCCUCUCCCCCUCCCCUUGGCCACCCCACCAGAUGGGAUCUGGGCUGGCCGCUGCCCCUAGGGUGGAACCCUAGGUGGGGGCGCAGCCCCCCCUCUCCCCCUAUAUAUAGUGGAUGCAAAGGAGCACCCCAUAGACGAAGUUUCUUCUCUUGUUGGCGCAACCCUACCUCUCUUUCUCCUCAUAUCUCGCGGUGCUUGGCGAAGCCCUGCUGGAUCACCAUGCUCCUCCACCACCACCACGCCGUUGUGCUGCUGCUGGAUGGAGUCUUCCUCAACCUCUCCCUCUCUCCUUGCUGGAUCAAGGCAUGGGAGACGUCACCGGGCUGUACGUGUGUUGAACGCGGAGGUGCCGCCCGUUCGGCACUAGGAUCUCCGGUGAUUUGGAUCACGACGAGUACGACUCAUUCAACCUCGUUCUCUUGAACGCUUCCGCUUAGCGAUCUACAAGGGUAUGUAGAUGCACUCUCCUUCCCCUCGUUGCUGGUUUCUCCAUAGAUAGAUCUUGGUGACACGUAGGAAAAUUUUAAAUUUCUGCUACGUUCCUCAAUAGUGGCAUCAUGAGCUAGGUCUAUGCGUAGUUUCUAUGCACGAGUAGAACACAAAGUAGUUGUGGGCAUUGAUUUUGUUCAAUAUGCUUACCGUUACUAGUCCAAUCUUGAUUCGGCGGCAUUGUGGGAUGAAGCGGCCCGGACCGACCUUACACGUACUCUUACGUGAGACUGGUUCCACCGACUGACAUGCACUAGUUGCAUAAGGUGGCUAGCGGGUGUCUGUCUCUCCCACUUUUGUCGGAUCGGAUUCGAUGAAAAGGGUCCUUAUGAAGGGUAAAUAGCAAUUGGCAUAUCACGUUGUGGUUUUUGCGUAGGUAAGAAACGUUCUUGCUAGAAACCCAUAGCAGCCACGUAAAACAUGCAAACAACAAUUAGAGGGCGUCUAACUUGUUUUUGCAGGGUAUGCUAUGUGAUGUGAUAUGGCCAAAAAGAAUGUGAUGAAUGAUAUGUGAUAUAUGAGAUUGAUCAUGUUCUUGUAAUAGGAAUCACGACUUGCAUGUCGAUGAGUAUGACAACCGGCAGGAGCCAUAGGAGUUGUCUUUAUUUAUUAUAUGACCUGCGUGUCAUUGAACAACGCCAUGUAAUUACUUUACUUUAUUGUUAACCGGUAGCCAUAGUAGUAGAAGUAAUAAGUUGGCGAGACAACUUCAUGAAGACACAAUGAUGGAGAUCAUGGUGUCAUGCCGGUGACGAUGAUGAUCAUGGAGCCCUGAAGAUGGAGAUCAAAAGGAGCAAUAUGAUAUUAUCCAUAUCAUGUCAUUAUUUGAUUGCAUGUGAUGUUUAUCAUGUUUAUACAUCUUAUUUGCUUAGAACGAUGGUAGCUUAAAUAAGAUGAUCCCUCACUAAAAUUUCAAGAGAAGUGUUCUCCCUAACUGUGCACCAUUGCGAAAGUUCGUCGUUUCGAAGCACCACGUGGUGAUGGGGUGUGAUAGAUUCUUACGUUCGAAUACAACGGGUGUUGACGAGCCUAGCAUGUACAGACAUGGCCUCGGAACACAUGCGAAACACUUAGGUUAACUUGACGAGCCUAGCAUGUACAGACAUGGCCUCGGAACACAAGAGACCGAAAGGACAAGCAUGAGUUGUAUGGUAGAUACGAUCAACAUGAAGAUGUUCACCGAUGUUGACUAGUCCGUCUCACGUGAUGAUCGGACACGGCCUAGUUGUCUCGGAUCAUGUAAUCACUUAGAUGACUGGAGGGAUGUCUAUCUGAGUGGGAGUUCAUAAGAUGAACUUAAUUAUCCUGAACAUAGUCAAAAGGUCUUUGCAAAUUAUGUCGUAGCUCGCGCUUCAGUUCUACUGUUUAGAUAUGUUCCUAGAGAAAAAUUAGUUGAAAGUUGAUAGUAGCAUUUAUGCAGACAGUAGAAGGCUUAUGUCCUUAAUGCACCGCUCAGUGUGCUGAACCUCGAACAUCGUCUGUGGAUGUUGCGAACAUCUGACAUACACGUUUUGAUGACUACAUGAUAGUUCAGUGCGUAAUGCUAAAUGGUUUAGAAUUGAGGCACCAAAGACGUUUUUGAAACAUCGCAGAACAUAUGAGAUGUUCCAAGGACUGAAAUUGGGAUUUCAGGCUCGUGCCCACGUCAAGAGGUAUAAGACCUCCGACGAUUUUCUUAGCCUGCAUAAUAAGGGAGAAAAGCUCAAUCUUGAGCUUGUGCUCAGAUUGUCUGAGUACAACAAUCGCUUGAAUCGAGUGGGAGUUGAUCUUCCAGAUGAAAUAGUGAUGGUUCUCCGAAGUCAUUACCACCAAGCUGCUAGAGCAUCGUUAUGAACUAUAAUAUAUCAGGGACAUAUAUGAUGAUCCUUGAGAUAUUCGCGAUGUUUGACACCACAAAAGUAGAAAUUAAGAAGGAGCAUCAAUUUUUGAUGGUUGGUGAAACCACUAGUUUCAAGAAGGGCAAGGGCAAGAAGGGAUACUUCAUGAAACGGCAAAUCAGCUGCUGUUCUAGUGAAGAAACCCAAAGUUGAACCCAAGCCCGAGACUAAGUGCUUCUGUAAUAAGGGGAACAGUCACUGAAGCAGAACCACCCUAGAUACUUGGUAGAUGAGAAGGCUGGCAAGGUCGACAGAAGUAUAUUGGAUAUGCAUUAUAAUGUGUACUUUACUAGUACUCCUAGUAGCACCAGGGUAUUAGAUACUGGUUCGAUUGCUAAGUGUUAGUAACUCGAAACAAAAGGCUACGGAAUAAACGGAGACUAGCUAAAAGGUGAGAUGACGAUAUGUGUUGGAAGUAUUUCUAAGGUUGAUCAAACAUCGCACGCUCCCUCUACCAUCGAGAUUGGUGUUUGCGUUGAGCAUAGACAUGAUUGGAUCAUGUCUAUCGCAAUACGAUUAUUCAUUUAAGGAGAAUAAUGGUUACUCUGUUUAUUUGAAUAAUACCUUCAAUGGUCUUGCACCUAAAAUGAAUGUUUUUUUUGAAUCUCGAUCGUAGUGAUACACAUGUUCAUGCCAAAAGAUAUAAGAUAGUAAUGAUAGUACCACCUACUUGUGGCACUGCCAUGUAAGUCAUAUCGGUAUAAAACGCAUGAAGAAGCUCCAUGUUGAUGGAUCUUUGGGCUCACUCGUUUUUGAAAUUUUUUGAGACAUGCGAACCAUGUCUAUUGGUGUAUAUGCAUGAAGAAACUCCAUGCAAAUGGAUCGUUUGGACUCACUUGAUUUUGAAUCACUUGAGACAUGCAAAUCAUACCACAUGGGCAAGAUGACUAAAAGCCUCGUUUUCAGUAAAAUGGAACUAGAAAGCAACUUGUUGGAAGUAAUACAUUUUGAUGUGUGCAGUCCAAUGAGUCCCGAGGCGUGUAGUGGAUAUCGUUAUGUUCUUACUUCACAGAUGAUUUGAGUAGAUGUUGAGUACAUUUACUUGAUGAAUCACGAGUCUGAAUUAUUGAAAGGUUCAAGUAAUUUCAGGGAGAAGUUGAAAGAUCGUCGUGACAAGAGGAUAAAAUAUCUAUGAUAUGAUCAUAGAGAUGAAUAUCUGAAUUACGAGUUUGGCACAGAAUUAAGACAUUGUGGAAAUUGUUUCACAACUAAUACAGCCUGGAACACCAUAGUGUGAUGGUGUGUCCGAACAUCAUAACUGCACCCUAUUGGAUAUGAUGCAUACCAUGAUGUCUUUUAUCGAAUUACCACGAUAGUUUAUGGGUUAGGCAUUAGAGACAACCACAUUCACUUUAAAUAGGGCACCACGUAAUUCCGAUGAGAUGACACCAUAUGAACUAUUGUUUAGAGAAACCUAAGCUGUCAUUUCUUAAAAGUUUGGGGCUGCGACGCUUAUGUGAAGAAGUUUCAGGCUGAUAAGCUCGAACCCAAAGCGGAUAAAUGCAUCUUCAUAGGACACCCAAAACAGUUGGGUAUACCUCCUGUCUCAGAUUCGAAAACAAUAAGGGAUUGUUUCUAGAAUCGGGUCCUUUCUCGAGGAAAAGUUUCUCUCGAAAGAAUUGAGUGGGAGGAUGUUGGAGACUUGAUGAGGUUAUUGAACCGUCUCUUCAACUAGUGUGUGGCAGGGCAUAGGGAGUUGUUCCUGUGCCACCUACACCAAUUGAAGUGAAAGCUUAUUAUAGUGAUCAUGAAACUUCAGAUGAAGUCACUACCAAACCUCAUAGGACGACAAGGAUGCGUACUACUUCAGAGUGGUACGUAAUCCUGUCUUGGAAGUCAUGUUGCUAGACAACAAUGAACCUACGAGCUAUGGAGAAGCGAUGGUGGGCCCGGAUUCUGAUAAAUGGCUCGAGGCCAUAAAAUCCGAGAGAGGAUCCAUGUACGAAAACAAAGUGUAGACUUUGGCAGAACGACUCGAUGGUCGUAAGGCUGUUGAGUACAGAUGGAUUUUAAAAGGAAGACGGACAAUGAUGGUAAAUGUCACCAUUAAGAAAGCUCGACUUGUCGUUAAGAUGUUUCUCGACAAGUUCAAGGAGUUGACUACAAUGAGACUUUCUCACUCGUAGUGAUGCUAAGAGUCUGUUGGAAUUAUAUUAGCGAUUACUGCAUUAUUUAUGAAAUCUUGCAGAUAGGAUGUCAAAACAUUGUUUCCUCGACGAUUUUCUUGAUGAAAGGCUGUAUGUGAUACAACCGGAAGGUUUUGUCAAUCCUAAAAGAUGCUAAUAAGUAUGCAAAGCUCCAGCAAUCCUUCUAAGGACUGGAGUAAGCAUCUCGGAGUUGGAAUGUAUGCUUUGAUGAGAUGAUCAAAGAUUUUGGGUGUAUACAAAGUUUAUGAGAAACUUGUAUUUCCAAAGAAGUGAGUGGGAGCACUAUAGAAUUUCUGAUGAAUAUAUGUUGUUGACAUAUUGUUGAUCAGAAAUGACGUAGAAUUUCUGAAAAGCAUAUAGGGUUAUUUGGAAAGUGUUUUUCAAUGGAAAGCCUGGAUUAAGCUACUUGAACAUUGAGCAUCAAAGAUCUAUAAGGAUAGAUCAAAACGCUUAAUGGUACUUUCAAAUGAGCACAUACCUUGACAUGAUCUUGAAGGUGUUCAAGAUGGAUCAGUCAAAGAAGGAGUUCUUGCCUGAGUUGUAAGGUAUGAAGUUAAGACUUAAAGCUCGACCACGGCAGAAGAAAGAGGAAGGACGAAGGUCGUCCCCUAUGCUUUUGUCAUAGGCUCCAUACAAUAUGCUAUGCUGUGUACCGCACCUGAAGUGUGCCUUGCCAUGAGUCAGUCAAGGGGUACAAGAGUGAUCCAAGAAUGGAUCACAGGACAGCGGUCAAAGUUAUCCUUAGUAACUAGUGGACUAAGGAAUUUUCUCGAUUAUGGAGGUGGUGAAAGAGUUCGUCGUAAAGGGUUACACCGAUGCAAACUUUGACACUAAUCCAGAUUAUUCUGAGUAGUAAACUGGAUUCAUAUAGUAGAACAUUUAUUUGGAAUAGCUCCAAAUAGAACGUGGUAGCUGCAUCUGGGAGAUGACAUAGAGAUUUGUAAAGCACACACGGAUCUGAAAGAUUCAGACCCGUUGACUAUAACAUCUCUCACAAGCAUAACAUGAUCCAACCCAGAACUCAUCGAGUGUUAAUCAUAUGGUAAUGUGAACUAGAUUAUUGACUCUAGUAAACUCUUUGGGUGUUAGUCACAUGGGGAUGAAACCUUGAGUGUUAAUCACAUAGCGAUGUGAACUGGAUUAUUGACUCUAGUGCAAGUGGGAGACUGUUGGAAAUAUGCCCUAGAGGCAAUAAUAAAUUAGUUAUUAUUAUAUUUCCUUGUUCAUGAUAAUCGUUUAUUAUCCAUGCUAGAAUUGUAUUGAUAGGAAACUCAGAUACAUGUGUGGAUACAUAGACAACACCAUGUCCCUAGUAAGCCUCUAGUUGACUAGCUCGUUGAUCAAUAGAUGGUUACGGUUUCCUGACCAUGGACAUUGGAUGUCAUUGAUAACGGGAUCACAUCAUUAGAAGAAUGAUGUGAUGGACAAGACCCAAUCCUAAGCAUAGCACAAGAUCGUGUAGUUCGCAUGCUAAAGCUUUUCUAAUGUCAAGUAUCAUUUCCUUAGACCAUGAGAUUGUGCAACUCCCGGAUACCGUAGGAAUACUUUGGGUGUGCCAAACGUCACAACGUAACUGGGUGGCUAUAAAGGUGCACUACGGGUAUCUCCGAAAGUGUCUGUUGGGUUGGCACGAAUCGAGACUGGGAUUUGUCACUCCGUGUGACGGAGAGGUAUCUCUGGGCCCACUCGGUAGGACAUAAUCAUAAUGUGCACAAUGUGAUCAAGUAGUUGAUCACGGGAUGAUGUGUUACGGAACGAGUAAAGAGACUUGCCGGUAACGAGAUUGAACAAGGUAUCGGGAUACCGACGAUCGAAUCUCGGGCAAGUACAAUACCGCUAGACAAAUGGAAUUAUAUACGGGAUUGAUCGAAUCGUCGACAUCGUGGUUCAUCCGAUGAGAUCAUCGUGGAACAUGUGGGAACCAACAUGGGUAUCCAGAUCCCGCUGUUGGUUAUUGAUCAAAGGACGUCUCGGUCAUGUCUGCAUGGUUCCCGAACCCAUAGUGUCUACACACUUAAGGUUCGAUGACGCUAGGGUUAUAAAGAAAGUUUGUAUGUGGUUACCGAAUGUUGUUCGGAGUCCCGGAUGAGAUCCCGGACAUCACGAGGAGUUCCGGAAUGGUCCGGAGGUAAAGAUUUAUAUAUGGGAAGUCCUGUUUUGGUCACCGGAAAAGUUUCGGGUUUUAUCGGUAACGUACCGGGACCACCAGGAGGGUCCCGGGGGUCCACCAAGUGGGGCCACCGGCCCCGGAGGGCUGCAUGGGCCAAGUGUGGGAGGGGACCAGCCCCAGGUGGGCUGGUGCGCCCCCCCACAAGGGCCCACGUCGCCUAAGGGGAGGAAGGGGGCAAACCCUAAGGGCAGAUGGGCCUUAGGGCCCAUGCCUGGUGCGCCUCCCUCUCCCCCUCCCCUUGGCCGCCCCACCAGAUGGGAUCUGGGCUGGCCUCCGCCCCUAGGGUGGAACCCUAGGUGGGGGCGCAGCCCCCCCUCUCCCCCUAUAUAUAGUGGAGGCAAAGGAGCAGCCCAUAGACGAAGUUUCUUCUCUUGUUGGCGCAGCCCUACCUCUCUUUCUCCUCAUAUCUCGUGGUGCUUGGCGAAGCCCUGCUGGAUCACCAUGCUCCUCCACCACCACCACGCCGUUGUGUUGCUGCUGGAUGGAGUCUUCCUCAACCUCUCCCUCUCUCCUUGCUGGAUCAAGGCAUGGGAGACGUCACCGGGCUGUACGUGUGUUGAACGCGGAGGUGCCGUCCGUUCGGCACUAGGAUCUCCGGUGAUUUGGAUCAUGACGAGUACGACUCCUUCAACCCCGUUCUCUUGAACGCUUCCGCUUAGCAAUCUACAAGGGUAUGUAGAUGCACUCUCCUUCCCCUCGUUGCUGGUUUCUCCAUAGAUAGAUCUUGGUAACACGUAGGAAAAUUUUGAAUUUCUGCUAUGUUCCCCAACAGCAGGGGCGUUUCAUGCAGGUCAACCCUUGCCAAGGCUGUGCUCACCUCUUUGGCAACCUACCAUAUCACCACCUUAGUCCCUCAUGUGAGCACGAUUUGUGCUUUCGAGAAGAUCUUGUUGGCCUUCCUUUGGGCUAGCUCUGACAAGAUUUCUGGUGGCCAAUGCAAAGUGAGCUGGAGCUUGGUAUGUAGACCAAAGAGGUUUUGUGGGUCGGGAGUGCUCGACCUCGGCAAAUAUGCUUGAGCUCUGCACUUGAGAUGGGCUUGGUAUGAGUGGAAGGAGCCUCAUAUAGCUUGGGUCAGUCUGGGAAAACCUUGCGACAUCAUUUACAUGGAUCUCUUUUACGCGGCUACCACCAUAACCAUUGGGAACAACUCCAUGGCCAAGUUCUUGCACUUGUUGUGGCUUAAUGCAUGGGUGGAAACCUAAGGAUGUUGUUCCCUCCAUAUUCCUCAUCUCAAAGAGAAGAAUUCAACGGUGCAUGCCCUAUGAGACCUCGCUUGGAUUGAUAGGAUCGACAUAUCAAGUGGUCUCUACAUCAACCAUUUUGAGCAGUUCUACACUUUAUGGCCAAAGCUUGGGGUGAGGGCUUUUGGAGGCCGAGCUUUACGGAGCUCGUUUUCAAAAUACAAAUUUCCACAAGGUGAAAAAAUUUGAAAUUGUUUGUAUACACUUUCACACAUGUGUAUUGCGUCUGUGCAAAAAUUCAAAACCAAAUACUUUCACACGUGGCGUACAGAAAAAAGACAAAUACAUAUUUCUAGAAUGGGCCAAUAUUUUUUGUUGUUGGGCCGGAUUUUUGUUUUUUUGUACAGCCUACAAAUCACAACAAAUUCAAAAAAAAUUCUUACACGUUCGUGCGGAAAUCUAUUAAGUUACCGUGGACUUUUGUUUUGAAUUUUUCUGAAACUUUAAAAUAUAAAUUUUGAUUUUUUUUCAAAAUACUGAGCUCCCUGGAGCUCAGCCUCCGUUGGCAUUUUCCGAAAAGCUUGAGCUUAUACAACUCCAGGAGGAUGUUCUCGAAGCUAUUACUUGGAACCUCACCACCAACAGGGUGUAUUCGGCGGCCGCCACAUAUAAGGUGCAAUUCGAGGGGCCAUCUCCACCAUCAUAGUGUCGGCGGGUUGGGGCACUUGGGCACCACCCAAGUGCAAAUCCUUUGCGUGGCUUGUCAUCAAGAACCGAGUUUAAAUAACGUACCGCCUUCAGAACUGGGGCUGGCCCAACUAUGGCCUCAGCCAGCUUUGCAAAAGAGAGUCAGAGUCCGCAACACACAUUCUCCAUAUACUCCCUCCGACUUUGGUCGGCCAUGAAGUGUUGGCUUGAUGCUCCGAAGUUGGAUAUUGCAAGCUAGAAAGGCAUCCGCACGGUCAAAGCUUGGUGGGCAGCGACGGUUUUUCGACAUGGCCACAUGAGAAAGGCCAUCUCAUUGCUUCUCAUGCUUGUCAAUUGGGAGGUGUGGAAGGAAAGAAAUGUGAGAGUUUUUCGCAACAAAUCGAUGAUGCCCACUACCCUCAUCGAUGACAUCAAAGUGGAAGCUAGGUGUUGGGUCAUCAUGUGGGCGACACAUUUGAGUUCUUUGAUGCCGUGAGGGUAGGCGUUUUCUCUUUACCAUUUGUGGAGGUAUAAUGUACCUGGUUGAACUUUGUUGAUUUGCCCUCCCUUCUUUAUUAAUGAGCUUAGGCAAAGCUUUUGCCCCUGUUUACAAAAAUAUAUUUUUGCCAUGGCAAAUCCUAAGUUUGCCAUCUUCUCUCCACAAGAAUAAAAUGCAUAAUUUGGCAAUUUCAUGAUUAAAAAUUCAAAAAAUAAUCAAUGUGUUUUUGUUAGAUAGCAAACAUGUAAAUUUGCUGUUUUUUUCAACCAUGGCAAACUAUGUGCAUAUCCUUGUUGCCAUGUUAUUCUAGAGAACAUGGCAAUUAUCAUAUGUUAUUAUUACUUGUGCAUCGCAAAAUAAAGAGAAAACGUUCUCACACAAAACAUGCACUUUUUUUUUGAAAACGACAUGGCAUUUUUUUGGGAUUUGAAGUUCUCCGUUCCAUAAAUAUGUAAAUGAAUUUGGUACGAGACGACUCCGUGACUAGCAAAAUUCAGGGGGAGAAAUCUCCUACUACCUCCGUUUCAGUUUACAAGUCCUACGCGUAUGCCUAGGUAGCCAAUUUUAUCACCCUAAUAUAAACUAUAUAACACAAAAAUUAUAUCUUUUGAAAGUAGAAACUCCAAAGUUUAUUUUGAUAUAUUUUUUAUAAUAUAUGACUUGUAUUAGGUUGGUCAAAUUGACAACUUAGGGGUACGGGCACGCCCUGUAAACUGAGAGAGAGGUAGUAGGUUAUAACCGCUUAAGAUCGUCAUAUCUUUAACACUGCAUUUUUUUGGGUGAGUUUCCUAUAGUAAGAUAGGUUGCAAGAACAAGUAAGGAUUAGGUGGCGUAUUAGGAUUUAUUUAAUUUUAUAAUUAGAGGAUAAUCCUUCUUGUAUAAUCAUGUACUGUAAUUCUUUUAGACUUUUCGAUCUACUCAUUCAUAACUGCAGUUCUUCAGAGACCAAUGGAAAAUUGCACUCGAUUCAGCCCUUGACCGACGUCAAACUAAAUUAGCACUUCCAUUCUGCCUGCGCAUGCAUCCUGCUCGGCUUCGUCAUCGCCGGCCUACAAGACACCACCUGCUCCCUCUGUCGCUAAAGCGUCGCGCCUCGUGAUCUACUGCUCGACGUGGACCUUCAGGUGUGUCGCCGCACCACGCCGUCACGGCGAUGCUCGAUCGAGCUUGCGUUCCACGUCUCCGCCCCGUCCCCUGCUACGAUGCCAAGCCUAGCGGCUUUCUCCUCCAGGCCCCCAAGACGAACCAAGAUGCAAAUAAAGCAUGGUCUGAUCAUAUGUUUACUUUGGCGACAUGCAUGGUUAUCGGAUGUGCGCGCGCGUAACAGCUAAUUUAACCUUGUAGACCGCUACGGUGCAAUCGAGCCGAUCGAUCGACGCGUGCUCCGUCUGCUGGCUGUUCCUGACGUGCAAAAGGCCACGGCAUUUGCAGGAGGAGACGCGGUGCCCAGACGUACGUGCCAAAGCCUAGUAGCAUGGGCCUGCGUCAACGCGGCGCGUCUUGGACGGAAGCCCGAUAUGUGCAAGGCAGCGCAAUACGUGCUCAGCUGGCCCCAGUGUUGUGUACGGAAGCCAAUCGAUGCAUCACGCAUGCAUUUCCAUGACCUUGACAUCUCUCUCGUGAGCUUUUGUGCCUUUAAUUUAUUUUUCUUCUUCGGGGUAAAGCAACUCUAUUAGUACUUGAACAACAAGCAGGCAUUACAAUCCCGGAGUGAUAUACUGUCAACAAUUGUAGCACGGCGAAGUAUGUGAUUCAAAGAAAGUACCAAUGAAAAUCUACAAACGAUACGGAUCGAAGGUGGGAUCCUUUUCUCUCGAGGCAAGUUCGCAGGCUUUGACCAAAAAAUAAAUUUCAAUUAACUUGGAGUGGAGAUAGUGCGUAAAGCGCAAAUUAAAUCAUAAGCGGGCAAGUAUUCCUAGCCAAGCUAGCUCUCCGUACCUGCAUCUACAUGCAACCAACUACAUACUAGUAGCAGCUCCUGCAUGCUAUUCGUCGCCAAAUUAAGAAGAUCGAGGGAGAAACACACAAACCAGAGGGAGAUAUUUCUUUACAAAACAUAUAGUAGUAGAGUACGUGCAGUCAACACAUGGCUAGAAAAACCCUAGAUCGAGUAGUAGUAGUAGAGUUUCAUCAACAUAGAUACCAUGCAUUGUCUGGUGCUAAUGCAUAUGCUCGUAUCAAUACCAUGCUUGCCGGUGAUUAACUUCAACUACUACGUACUACUCCCUCCGUUCUGAAUUACUUGUCUUGGAUUUAUCUAGAUACGGAGGUAUCUAGCACUAAAAUGAGUCUAGAUACAUCCGUAUCUAGACAAAUCCAAGACAAGUAAUUCGGAACGGAGGGAGUACAUGCUUAGCUUGCACACCACGAGGGGAUCGGAAGCUCUGGACCGGAUCUUGAGCUCAGGCCGCCGCACCGCCUGCCCCUGCGCCUUCCGCUCCUUGGUUCCCGGCGCCGGCUCCGCCCUGCGGGGGGUUCCAGCAAGCCCGUAUCCCACGGAUCAUGAUGCGGCCGGUGAGGUUGAGGAUCCCCCCAAUGACCGCGAGAGCAGGGAUGGCCAGCACGCCGCAACCAAAACCCGCCAAAAAUCCCUCGCCGUACGGCGUCAUGGCUCAGUUCGUGGCUGGAAUUGAGCGGAGAGUGUGAUCGAUGGAUGCGGAGGUGAAGUGGAGGCCGCCCGGGGUGGAAGAAAGGAGGAUUAUAAAGACGAUUAAGAGCGGGGAAUCUCUCUUUCUCACUCACGCAAUGACGCUGGAAUUUUCCGCCUGUCCCAAAUGAGGAAAACGCGGCCAGCUUGCGUGUGCAGGCUGGGCUGGCUACUUUGGCACCGAUAAGGUAACCUGCAUACAUGUGAUAUGGGUCGAUGGCCUGCUCUGCUCGAUCGAGAUAGGCUGGGGCGUCAUUUCCUGCGGACGCACACAUGUAAAAUUAGUGGCAUGCUGAUGCACCGGCGCCCGCUGCAAGUGCAAAGGAAACCUGUACACGCUGCAUGCACGGGCAACAUCGUACCGAUCGAUCAUAUACAGGAGUAUCUCUGUGCGACAUUAGGCCAACUCCACCGCGCGACCCUAUCCUAUCCGGCCCCGUCCAUUUAGGGUAAAAGGGACAAAAAAAGCGGCCCAGCGCGCGGGAGCAAACGGACUUUUGUCCGCUUUGUGUCCGCUUUCGACCCAUUCCCGGCCCAAACUUGCGCCGAAACGGACACCAUGCGGACACGCGGGUCGUCUGCGCGUGUCCUCCCCUGGCCCGCCCGUCGGUGACACAAGACGGGCCUUUUUCUAUCCGCCCCCCUCCCUCCCUUCGGCCGCAUCCCCUCCACUCUUCCCCACUCUUCCCGUCGCUGCCGCCGCCGCCGCCGCUGCCAUUGUAGCCGUGCAGUUCGGACGCGAGCUCGCCCAACCCCUUCCCCUCGGCGUCGGGCUCGGACGCGACCACGGCCACCUGGUUUGCGCACCCGCCGGCCGGCUUUGGGGCGGAUCCGGUCGGUCUUGAGCUCGGCCGGCUGUGGGAGGCCGGGCCGCGGCAUGGACUGGCCGGGCACCUCGCCGCAAGGCCACAUGCAGGCAGUGGCUCCUCCUUUAGCCGCUCGGAUCUGCACCGUCGGUGGUCCGCCGGCAGAUACACGAAUGGUGGUCGGCCGGGCUCGGUGCUUGCCCAAAAGCUCGCCGGCGCACCGUUGCCACUCAUUAAGUGCGACCACUGCCCAAGGAUGGUCGUGCGCCGCGUGUCUACAACGCCGGAACAUUCUGGAUGGGUGUUCAUCAAGUGCUUAAACGAUGGGGUAUGCGUUUUUUUAGCUUCGGUUUGUGCUCUAGAUUUAACUAGUUGUGCUAACUUCAAAUUUUGUUGUGUAGAACGGAUGCAAGUUUUGGUAUUGGGAAGAAGAGUACAUCGAUAUAUUGAUAGAACGGAAUUUAGUACAUGUUCGUGCACUUUUAGCUAGCAUAGAGGCUGUAAAUGAGACAAGUGCACUUGUUGCUAGAUUAGAGGCUAGACACGAGACUAGGUGUGAGGAGGAAGCAACAUCGACUUCUGGCUUGAAGAAGAAAGGAGGAUGCCAGAUCGAGCCUCCUCCUCCACAGAUCAACAACGAGUGCAUCGAGAAGGCCCUAACCCAACUCAAGGGAGCAGUUAUGGAAGUUGGGUAUCUUCUAAAAUGUAUUUUUGUGAUUCUUAUUUUCUUUGGUCUUGCUUUGCUAGUCAAAAUGUGAUGAUGUAUUUUUCAUGUACCAAAAAUGAAUGAUGAAAUAAAGUUAAGGACUUGCAAAAAAAUAAUACGCGGACAGGAUGUGCCCGGGAUGCGUCCGCGCGCUGGGCGCACGGCCACCGCAUCCCCGGACAGGCCCGGACACGACCCCAAAUCCCUAUCUAAAGGGACAAAAACCGGAUAAAACGGACGUCCGUUUGGGAUCGCGCGAUGGAGUUGGCCUUAGACGGGGCGCCCGUGCACUGCCAAAGCUAGCUAGCUCUUUUCUGGCCGAUUAACAGAAGGAUUUUGUUUACAAAUUGACAGAAAUCAAGCGUACGUAACGUACGACUCCAUGAAUAAAAAGACCACGUACUUAUUUUUGCGGGGUAAAAAGAAGACCACGUACUCCGAUAUGUGCAAGACAGCGCAAUACGUGCUCAGGUGGCGCCUGUGCCAUAUACGGAACGGAAGCCGAUGCAUGCAUUUCCAUGAAAGUUCUACACGCCCCACGGUGGCAUCUCUUUCGUGAGCUUUUGUGCUACAGAGCGGGCUAUGCUAAUGCAUCCGUGCCUCUGGUUUUCUUCUUCGGGGUAAAGCAACACUCUAUAUAUUACGUACUUAAACAACAAGCAAGCAUCACAAUCCCGGAGGAUGAGGUAAGAACUGCACCACGGCCAAGUGUACGAUACAAGACCGAAGCAUCAACGAAAAUGUGCAAACUUAUCUUCUACAGCAAAACACACGGCAUGGAUCGAAGAUGGGAUCCCUAACUAGCCGCUUAAACGCCAAUCAGCACACAACCCUUUAAAUUACUCUCAAGGCAAGUUUGCAGGUUUUAAUUAACCAGGAAAACAAACUUCAAUUAACUUGAAGAGAAGAUAGUGCGUAGAGUGAUUUUUUUCCCUUUGCGCAUAAGUAUUCCUAGCUAAUUAUGCUUGCUCUCCAUCAUUAUCCGAGAAAAAACUAGCUCUCCAUCCUUGCAUCUACAUGCAAUCAACCACAUAGUACAACAGAAACUAACAGAAAGUAACAAUGCUGCAGCAGCAGCACGCAACUGUCAAACAGCUCCUGCAUGCUAUUUGUCGCCAAAUUAAGAAGAUCGAGGGAGAAACAAACACACAUAAUAUCACAAACAUAAUAUAUGUGUGUAUGUGCCGUCAACACAUAGCUAGAGAAACACUAGAUCGAGUGGUAGUAGAGUAGAGUUUCAUUCAUAUAGAGACCAUGCAGUGUCUGCUGCUAAUGCGCACAUACGGUACCAAUACCAUGCUUGCCGCUAAUUAACCUCAUUACAGCUACAUACUUAGCUUGCACGCAUCCAGGGUAAGCUCUGGACCCGAUCUUGGCCUCAGAGCGCUGCCCCUGCGCCUUCCGUUCCUUGGUUGCCGCCGGCCUACGCCCGCGCCUUCCGCUCCUUGGUUGCCGCCUCCGGCUCCGCCCUGCGGGGGUUCCGACAAGCCCGAAUCCCACGCAUCAUGAUGUGGCCGGUGACUUUGAGGAUCCCCCCAAUGACCACGAGAACAGGGACGGCCAGCAUACCGCAACCAAAGCCCUCAAGGAACAGCUUGACACACGGUGUCAGGGCUCGGUUAGUGGCUGGAAUUGAGCGGAGUGUGAUCGAUGGAUGUGGAGGUGUAGCUGAGCAAGACCAGGCCGGCCGGGGUGGAGGUAAGGAUGGUUAUAAAGACGAUUACACACUCACGCGGGGAAUCUCUCUCUCUCUCACGCACACGCAGGGAAUCUCUCUCUCACGCAACAAAAAUGCUAGACGUACGGGAAACUUUUACAAGAAUUAACGAACUAACCUUCUUCCCUCAUUAAUCUCUCCCCCUCUGAUUUUUAGGGUAGGACCCGCUUCAUCUUAACAACCAAACACACCCCACAAGUCCUCAGUAGCUAAUACAAUAGGAUCGAUUGAUGCUCAGCUUAUACAGUAGCUAAUUAAUCUUUGGCAGCGACACCAUAACUCCUCAGCAACAUGCGUGUAGCUAGACACAGCAAAACUCUCAUCAACUCGAAUCCAUCUUUCUAGAAUCUCUCACCACACAAACAUACGCCAUAGAACGGACGAAACAUAAAUAAACCACACAUGCAACACUAGUGAAAAAACGACUUUUAGUACCGGUUCGUAAGGACUUUUAGUACCGGGACCAAAGGCCCACCACGUGGCACGAGGCCCGCCGUGGUCUUGGGGACCUUUAGUCCCGGUUGGUGGAUUUUUUUUUGAAAUAAAGCAAAAACAGCCCGCCUACUGGGCCGGCACGGCCUGCAUACGACUAGAAACCCAAUUCCUAGUUGGGCCAGGAUGCAGGCCCGUACGGACCAGUAGGCCCCACAGGGCAGAAGACUUGCAAUAGGUCCACAAAGCGCUUAGAGAGGAGCUCGACACGGUAGCCACGGCGGGGCUUAUAAACCGGUGCGAGCUGCUCUCAACUAGCGAGGUGGGACUAAACAUUGUGCACUGCGGGUGGCAGCGCACCACCUUUAGUACCGGUUGGUGGCUCCAACCACCAACCCGUACUAAAGGCCAUCAUCUUUAGUACCGGUGGGAGACCACCAACCCGUACUAAAAGGGGGGGGGGGGUCUUUAGUACCGGUUGAAGCCACCAACCCGUACUAAAGGCCACCACCUCUUUAGUACCGGUUCGUGCCGAACCGGUACUAAUGAGCGCCGCCCGCCUAGCCGUUAGAACCAGCACUAUUGGUCACAUUAGUGCCGGCUCAAAUACAAACCGGGACUAAUGAGCUAAACAUUUGACCCUUUUUCUACUAGUGCAACUAGCUAGCUUGCAAAGAUGACCACGACCGAGGGCCGACUCGUCUCGACGACCCCUUCGCAUCCAGCAGGUAACCGCCCAAACCACCGUGUAAAGCUCGGGAAAAGCCUCCAUCAACAUCAUAUGGCAGCACUCGCGCCCAAAGGCUGCUGAAGAUGAGUAGGUUUUACAGAGUGGAAAGGUGAGAUUCAUCGGGUGGCUGCUUGACUGGAGUACACUAAGAGCAUCUCCAACACACGCGUACCGCGUGGCGCGCUAAAAAACAGAAUGCAACAUCGGGUGAGCCAGCUUUUGCGCGCGGCGGUGCGCUGGCUCCAGCGGCCGCCUCAAAAUAAGCGCGCCUAAGCCGCUCUAGUAGGCGCGCUAUAUUUCUUUCUUUUUGUACUACGAUUCGGUACACAUUUGGCUUUGAUAGUACAAAUGUGAUAGAUAGUUCGUCACAUAGCCUCCUCCUACGAUACAAAAUAGUGCAUAGAUAGUUCAUAACCUUCUCCUACGAUAGAUAGAUAAAACAAAAAACUACUACUACUCGUCAUCCUUCGACUCGGACUCUGCCUCGGUGAUGUCCUUCUCUGACGUCUGAACGUAGGCGUCAAGGAACCGCUCGUCGUUGGAGUCCCAGGACGACGCGUCUCCUAGCGUGAUGUUGAAUUUAGCGACCGCCUUCCGCGUUCGCAUGUCCUCGCGAUAAGCGGCUCGCUCCUCCCUCCUCUCCUCUCUCUCCGCCCUCCUCUUGCCUCGGCCAACGUCAACCCUAGUCGGGAGCCCUACCCUUGCCCCUGUCAGCAACAACGGAGGUGUCCCUGAGCAAUCACGCCUACUCGAUCUUGCUGAGCUCCCCAUUGAGAUAGUGCAAUCGUCGUGCACACGUCUCGGCGGUGCUCACAGACUAGUCGUGGGCCGAGGCCUCCGCAAGGGCGAGUUCCAUGAGGACCCAGACAUGCGCGGUGUCGUACUUUGUGAAUGCUGCUAGCGUGUCGCCUUCUCCUAAACCCAAACGAUGCUCCUUGACAAGGUGCCGCGGCCAACGAGGUAGUGGAGGAGGCGGCCGCACACCUUCAUGGUCGGCGGGGGAAACUCCUUCGUCACUGGCUUGCCGAGACAGCGACGAGGCGGUAANNNNNNNNNNNNNNNNNNNNNNNNNNNNNNNNNNNNNNNNNNNNNNNNNNNNNNNNNNNNNNNNNNNNNNNNNNNNNNNNNNNNNNNNNNNNNNNNNNNNNNNNNNNNNNNNNNNNNNNNNNNNNNNNNNNNNNNNNNNNNNNNNNNNNNNNNNNNNNNNNNNNNNNNNNNNNNNNNNNNNNNNNNNNNNNNNNNNNNNNNNNNNNNNNNNNNNNNNNNNNNNNNNNNNNNNNNNNNNNNNNNNNNNNNNNNNNNNNNNNNNNNNNNNNNNNNNNNNNNNNNNNNNNNNNNNNNNNNNNNNNNNNNNNNNNNNNNNNNNNNNNNNNNNNNNNNNNNNNNNNNNNNNNNNNNNNNNNNNNNNNNNNNNNNNNNNNNNNNNNNNNNNNNNNNNNNNNNNNNNNNNNNNNNNNNNNNNNNNNNNNNNNNNNNNNNNNNNNNNNNNNNNNNNNNNNNNNNNNNNNNNNNNNGAUCGCCGCCUCCUGCUCCUCCUCGCCGGACCUAGAGAGUGACAACGGCGGCACCAAGAUCCGGGUCCGGAAGGAGAUAUGAAUCCGCCACUUGCAGGUGCAGAGAACCACGACUUUGGCAUCUUCAGGUGGGCGAAGAUGAGAGGAUGUACGAUGAUCGGAGAGGAGAGGAUGUGCGGUGAGCAAAGAGGAGAGUAUGUGGCGUGUGGUGUGGAUGGUGCCGGAGCCGUGUUUAAAUAGGCACGACCAAGCAAUCAGACGGGCAGCCAUCCUCAAUGCAGCGUUAGAAUUGGCUUCUUCGUCAGCAUUGAAAUGGCCUGACCGUCAUCAGUGCAGUGUGGAUCACGUCCUUCUGGAGCGGCCUAACCGGAAUGGAUGCACGGCGACCUUUCAUGGGGAGAGGGUUUUGGGGUGAGCGUGGAGGUCAGGCGCAUACGUGACAACAGUCGGACGCUCAUAUAGGCCCUCCGGUUUGCGUCUGGUUUGCGGGAUUUCAGGGACAUGGCUGCCGCUCCGGCCAGUAGAUUAGCAGAUAGGAGCUUAUCUCAAGCAGUUUGGGCAACGCAAAAAAAAGAGGGAAAAGGGAACCAUGAGAAAUAUCUUAUUACAUUGAUUUUAUUUUGUUGAUUUCACGGAUAAUUGAUUUCAUUUGUUUCGAACAAACAAUAUAUUGAUGUUUUGUCUUAUCCAGGAGAUAUGAUUGGUUUUAUGUCCAAUGACUGUGUUGAGAACUGAGACACACGAUAUGUGAGCCAUGGAGUUUGCACCUUAUUCUACAAUGGCUUCCAGUUGAUAUUAGCUAAUUAUCUUGAUGUAUUUUUCUCUUGCCAAUGGUACAUCUACUCCUAUUGAUUUUAUAUAUCCAGGUUAAUCAUAUUUUCACAUCCAUAAAAAUAUAUUUGCACGACCAUCGUUACAAAAAAAGUGCCAACAAAAAUUAUUGUUAGAUUUGGCAUAACAUUUAUUAUGAUUCUGUUUGCUUAAAAACCAAAUAAUGUUAAUUGAGCUAAUAAUUUAGACAUCCAUGAUUAUGGAAGCAAGUAGUGAGAGGAGGAAGUCAACAAUUACUCUUUGCAAAUUGUGGUAAGUUUCCAAUUGAACUACUUAUUUGACUGUUCAUUUUAUAGGUUUGGCAUGCAUGUAGGAUCAUGAAGGGUUCAUGUUUAUUUGUUGUUUUAUAGUUUUUGAACUAAUGGGUACGCGUGCAUGUGGUUAAUGAUUUUAUUAGAAGCUAAAACAAGGCAUCCAGUUGACCAAUGUUUUAGGAUGCCGAUGAACUUUUGACAUAUGAACUAGGUAGUCUACAAAAUGUUAACCUCUUGUUCUAACGUGUUAAUUUUAUCUAGGCCGAAUCACUUGUCCUGAAUAUACCGCAAAAAUUGCUGUGACUAACAAAAGUGAUUGUGGUUGAUUCUGGGACCUUAUUCAUCUAGGUUAGCAAAACUUUUUUAAAUAAAUUUAGUGAGCUAUGGACAUGGAAGAAUUUUUGUUUUGCAACGCACGGAGAACUUUUCUAGUUUAACCAAGGGGUAAUUUGGGAAUUGUAGUCAAUAUCCGAUGCAACUAUCUAGAACUCCAGAUCCACGGCCAUGUUCUUCCACCACCGUGGGCGUGGCCGGAACUGCAGCCACAGGGAGGAGACGUGGGUCGUAGGUAUAGUGAUUUAGUACUCCUCCGUUACAGAUACUAGUAGAAUGCCCGUGCGUUGCUACGGGCUAUAGUGCAUAUAAGUGAAUCAAACAAAUGAUUUAGUUUGUCCUCAAGGUCGAAGCUCAUUUCUUCCAGUCUGGGCUCCCCAAAUCUAGACCAUAUGUGGGGAAGAAAUGUGGUUGUCUUAUUUUCAACACGUGGGCCCAAUACAGAAACCCUGCCCCAUGACACACCCUUUCCUUUUUCUGAGCCCUCUCCUUUAAAAUUGAGUGAUGCCCCCCGCUCUCCGCCCUAAUCCCCUCCCCUUGUGUAUGUGUCCUUGUGUAUGUGCCGAUCCACCACCAAGGCGUGCACCGAGUCCGUGCGGAUUCCUAGUUCUUUCAUAUCUAUGUUCGAUCAGACAUUGGAUUACAAAGAUCCAUCGUGAGUUGUAAGAAGCCAAUUAGCAAGUUUAAAAUGGACCAAAAGUGAAUUUAUUCACAUAGUGCUGGAUGCCCAUGUGUUGCCACAUGCUAAAAAAACUAUAUGUACAACAAGAAAUGUGCUAACAAAAUGUUUUUACAAAAAGAAAGGCUGUGUGAUAUGAGCCAUAUACUAUUUACACGUGAUGAUAUCUCAUGCUCAUGAUGUGGUAGAUAAAUGCAUCUCCUCGUCAUCUUCAUGCCCCUCCCUCUUCUCAGCCACCACAUGACACUCCACUUCCUCCCACAAUCCUUCUUCUUGUUGUUUUCUUCCCGCACCUCCACCUUGCAUCAAAAUAUUAAAUGCCUUGUCAAACUUUCACAAUUUUCAAAGGUUAGCCAUCCCCUAAGAUUAUACAUAACUUAUAUGUGCACAGAAUAAGGAUAACGAAAAGGCAUACCAAAUGUCCUGCGAGAGAUAAAAUUCAGGGUGAUAUCUUAUACUCUAUGCAAUCAAUUUUUAAGAUAAUCUCUUUGUAGCUUUAGUCAAGAUUGUGACGCUCGCACAUUCCACAGAAUAAACAUCCAAUGCUGACCACAUAACUGAUUUAAUAGUUGAAAUAUGCCUAUGAUAAAUAAAGUUUACUCAGAACAGUUUUUCUAAGAAAGGCAGAUAAUUUACUUAAGUGAAAAAGGAGAGGUUUGGGUUCAUCUCAAAUUAUUGCAUAUAUUAGAAGCAGAGGGUCACCGAACAAUUAACACAAUAGAAAAUCCAUGUUAUAUGUACUCCAUGAUGGCCUUUGUUUGUAUGGCUACAAUAGUUUUGUGAAGGAAACAGUGAAGACUCAAUAGCAUCAACUUACUUUAUGUUUAGAAAUUGUAGUCACAUAUAACCUAGAAAAAUUUAUCUUUCCAACUUCUUGGACAUACAAUAAAAUUGUGCUAUUCUGUAUAGUGGCAAGAAAUAUGACUACAAACUUCUACUUUGAUCAGCCAUACACAACGAUCGGUAAGAAUAUAUAGCUAUGAUAUUGUGCGAAGACCAAAAAUGGAGAAAAUAUGCAUGCAAAAGGAGAUCAACAAUAAAAAACUUGAUGCAUAACUACUUGCAUCCAGUGAAGAUUGUAACUAAGAGCAAGCAAUUACAACAAAAUCGCACCGUUUUUACUAUUUCAUGUAGAAAAGAACACAAGCUAUCAUGUUCACUUUCGUCCAAAGAAGUCAACAUUAUUUAUUUCCUGCAAACAAAAUAUGCACAUCAGAAUUUAGUCCGAAGAUGAAGGGUAAUUUUGAACAAAUAAUGCUAUCAUGCAUAUCUAUAUACCGUUGACUCUACAAAAAAAACCUACUUGAUAACUACAAAGAAAUAAUAUUGGAACUCUUUAACACAAAACUGGUAGGGGGUUCAUUCACAAUCUGUAUACUUAAAGCAGGAUCAUGGUUCCAACUUGAAUAAGCAAUGUCAAGAGUGAAUUAGCUACAGAGCCAUUAGAUCAUUAGAACACAACCACGAGGAACGUGUCUGACACUUAAAAAUAGUAUAGUAGAUGUACACUAACAAUAAGUAAUAGUCACCUGGUAACCUCACGGGAGACAACAAUAUAUGCAUAGUUUGGUUUUGAUGCGGCCAUGUCUAUCCGGCUUUGGGAAAGAGGCAGACUGGGGGUAUUAACUGAGUGCUGAAAGACUAUAGGUAGCCAAUGGAUAACCGUGUUUUGUACCCCCAAAUAAUUGUCGGUUAAUACAAAUGUCAAAAGAAUCAAGAGUACCAUGAGGUUGUAACUUGAAAGAGGUGAACACAGGAGCAAAUAAAAUGUGUAGACAUUAAGAUUGAUUAAUUUGUAUGUUGUCUUGUAUCAUUUAGGUGAUCAAUUUAAAAUUAUUUCCCUUCGAACAUUGUAGUACUCGACUUGAAAAGGCUGACACUAAUACAAUCAGGCAUAUGCAGUCUGGAUGAACACCAGUUGUGUUUGAUUAAUCAUUUAAUAUCUAAUCAAGAUAAAAUUAAUACAUACCUAGAGGUCGGAUAAGAUUAAUUAGAACGGUGUGUGAGCACAGCACCAGCGAGCUGCACAAACAAUUAUAGAGAAUAUAUACUACUACCACUACCAACUACAACUUGUGACCAAUCACAUAAAGAUAUAUAUAUUUAGAAAGAUGUGCAUUGCUACGACUUCUAAAUUGAUAUAUCAUACUGUAUUUUGUCUCUUUUCACUUCUUUCCUCUCCUCAUCUCGUUGGCUAGUCUUCUCUGAUUAUUUGUUGUCAAUUCUUUUAUCAAGGUUAUGCAAAAAGAAAGUUCAAAAUAUUCAGAUCAAAGAUAAAUCUCUAUGAAAACUAAUUAUUCAAGAGCGACGAUGCAAAUUAAAAGAUGAGACAACACCUUGAUGAAAAAAUGCAGAUCCACUUGUAUGGCGUCCAAAUAUGUUACCCAGUGGGUUUCUUGUUCACUGAGCAAAGUUCAGCACUUUCAUGGAAUUAAUUAGUAGAAUUAUUGUAACACCAAGCAUGUACAAGUAUCCCAAGAUGACCACGAGUGAAAUUUCUACUGUAGUGCAUACUAAACAUACCUGACCUUUUUCUUCUUGAAUCCAUCAAAUUUUUAUUUCAUUUAGAGCAUCAUGAUGUCGUGAAUACAACUUCAAAACUAUUUAGAGCAUCAUGACCUCAACACUUCUAAGUCUGAAAUCGUCUCUAUAAAUGAUCUGUGGAGCAAUUCGUAAACUGCAGUCAGUAGACACAUUAAUUAGAUUGUGCAUGCAUGAGACGAUGGAUUGUGUAGAUGAUCCCUAAGCUGUGGAACAGUAUAACCAGAGAAAAUAGCAGUCAAAGGGAGGAAUUAGCUAGCUAGAUUGUGGAUGCAUGCAUGAGUCAGCCGGCGCAAGGGGAGUUGCACUGAGCGCCAUGACGAACUCGGAGUCUGGGCCCGAGCCGUUGUGCCUCGGCGGUAGACAGGGCCAGCACAGCCGCUGCUCGCUGGGCCGCUACUCGCUAGUGCCCACCACGCUGUUGAAUCGGCCGCCGAUUGUAGCCACUAUAUACAGUGUUCACGCCGCCAUGAUUGUGCCCGACGAGGACGGUACAGGGCGGCGGAGUCGUGCAUAUCCGGCGGUGAGAUCAACCAGCAAGGCGAGGUGACCGGCAGCGAACGGGCAGGGCCUGCGGCGUCGUCUGCAGAUCUCCUGGAACAGAGAAAAAGAGAGAGAGGUAGAGACUGAGGAAGGAGAGGUAGGGCGCAGGAAGAGGAGAGGGAUACUGGUGUCCAUGGCGAGGCCUCCGUUGUCCACCGGCAAACCUCCAUGGCUAAGGUAAGGUGCACCUACACCCAUAACACACCAGCAUGACCUGACGGUGAACGGGUUCACGUGACGAGCGCGGGGCUGGCAAUCACCGUUUCCUGGUCCUCCUCGCUGAUGCAUAACGGGCACGCAUCGCUGCCUGGGUCGCUCACCAUGAAGAAGAAGAUAGGGUGGAGGAAUUGAGCGAGGGAGGAGGAAUCGAGCGGCUUGUACGGCAGGGGGCCAAACCAUGAUAAAAAUCAGUACAACCCGUGCGAGGUGGAGAACGAAAUGACUUACCUAUAGCUCAUGAUUCGAUUGAGAUGAUAGGGAAGGAAGGAAAAUUGUGAUUUAGUCAGACAAAGUUUUGGAAAGUUCUGAUUCAGCUGAGAAAUAGAUGGAAAUAAUGCCUCAUGAUGAUUAGGAGAUCACGAUUAGGGUAUGGCAAGAAGAACUUUUUUGGAAAGCUUUGAUUCUGAGUUUUACCAUACAUGGAUUACCAUAUUCGAAAUUUCCUUAGUUAUAGCCUUACCAUACAUGGAUUGAUUUAUUACUAUAAUUAUCAUAUUUGAGAUUUCUGAGUUUAUAGCCUUACCAUAUGUGGAUUAAUUGUGAUUGAUCACCAUAAACAACACGUUGGAUGUUGUCGGCCAGACGAGAAAGAGGAAAACCGGUGGGAGGGGGGUGGUGGGGGGUGGGACGAAGAAAAACCAGACGAAAAAAAGCCAGACGAAAAAAAACCAGACAAAAAUGGUGGGACUAUUCAACCAACUCGUUCAUUAGGAAUAGAGAUAACUACGGCCUUGUGGAACUCAGUUUACGUAUGCGCUUCCGCGCAGGGGACGGACGCCACGGCGAGAUAUCUUGACAUUAAACACGCAGCAGCAGCCGCAAACGACCAAAUUGAACGUUGAGAUCUCAUGCGAUUUCUUGCCAGAGAAGAUCGAGGGAGAAAACACAUCGGCCGGCCGGCGAUAAAAAGCAACAUAUGUUGGGUCAAACACAUAGAGAAACACGAGAGUAGAGUUCUUCAAUAAGUAUACUACUAUCAUCAUCAACGAGUCAACCAAGUCACCCGCUGCUGAUUAAGUUCAUUACAACUAAAAACUUUGAUUUCCAAACACACGCCGCGCCACCAACAGAGCCGCACACGCCCGCGAUCUCGCAACAAACCCAACAAGGAAACGACGACGUACUGGCUGAACUGAUGAACUGAUGGGGUCGCUCUCGAUCGCGAGGUAGCGCGCAGCUCAGACCGCCGCGCCGCCAGCGCCCUCCGCCUGGCCGCCGCCGGCUCCGGCCUGCGCCUGCGGGUUCCCGCGCGCCUGGAUCUUGGCCAGAAUGCACUCGCCGAUGUCGCCGAUGGCGCCCUUGGCGAACAGGAAAAGGAUGAUGCACGCCACACCGUCAAGGAAACCCCAUCCGUACUCGUCCAUGGACUAGCUAGAGGACUAGCUUGGCGUGCGUGCGUGGUUGGAUGGGCAGAAGAGAGGAGAGUGCGAUGGGUCGAUGGGAUGCAGAGCAGAGGAGUGACGAGUGGUGGAAGAAAGUGAUUACUCCUAGAUGGGAGAGGGGUUUAAAACGCACACGCUCUCUCUGCGCUCCGGCCGGUCCAUGGGUAGUCUAAUCUCUGUCUAGUGCUCCUGACGUGUAAAAUGGGACCGUCAUUUUCUGCAGACGCGGUGCCAAGGUCGACGCGGUAGGUCGUCUUUGGACGCACGCCCGAUGUGUCGAAACAAGGUAGCUAGCCGUCCAUCGAUCAGCCGGCUGGCCCCUGUGGCCUGUGCUGCAUACGGAAACGGAGGGAUGCAUGCGCUUUCCUCCUGAAAUGGAGCUAUUGGUAAAGACUUAGUGAACAAAUCUGCAAGAUUAUUACAAGAUUUUGUUUGCAAAAUAUGAAUUUCUCCAGAAUAAAAUGUAAUACAUGAGGAAAAAUCAGUUUGGGAGCAAUAGGUUUUGCGAUAUUACUUCAAAUCUAGCCAUAUGCAUCUGAGCAACAUAUGCAUCAUUAGCCUCAUAGAUAAUGGUUGGUGAUUCUAAUGAACCAAUACCACAUGAUGUUUGAAUAUGGCUAAUCAGUCUGUGAAGCCAUACACAAUCUCGUGAGGCUUCAUAACUAUUUUAGACUGGUUAGUGGAAUUUGCUACUAAAGUUUGCUUUGUUGCUUUCAUGGAAUAGCAAUUCCAUCAUAUAAAAAAUACAAACCCCAUUUUUGACCUGGCAUUACGAGGACCAGAAAGUUAUCCAAGGCCAAUAUAACCAAUUAGGUCCAUUUCUUGAUUUUCUCGAUAAUAUAAACCAAAUUAUUUAGUACCAUGCAAAUAUCUUAAGAUAUUCUUUACUCUCACCCAAUAAAUCCUGUUGGAGUUGCACUAUGUCUAGCCAAUACAUUUAUUACAAAGACAAUGUCAGCUCCAACAAUUUUGUGUUGCAAAUCUAAUAUUCCCGAAACUUCACAUUCAGAUUCACUAGUACGUCGAUCUAAGGACCGAAUGCCUGUAACAUUCCAAUCUAUUUCCUGUCAUUUUUUAUGAUUUGUUUUUUCCCCUGAUGCCAGGAAAUGUUCCCCGUCAAAAUUUUAAUCAGCAUACUGGAUUAUGAACAGGUUCAUGUUAGGGGUUCUAAGUAUUUUACAACUGGCAUUGAAUUGGUACGUAUACAACACAAUCGAAUUUUCGCGGAUGAAAAAUACUUUGCUGAUUGCUCCAUACUAUUUGAAACGUGGAAGUUUCAUCAUUUGCAGUUGGUCUUGCUUGUAUCAACCCUUGGGCGUGUAAAACCACAUGUCCAUAACAGCUAAAUUCCAAUUCUCUGCAAUAGUGGCCUUGUAAUUAGUUUCACUCUUUUAAUUAAAUAUUCAGCCAUUUCAUUUUGUGUAUGACCAUAGGGUGUCGAAUGUUCUAGACGGAUACCUGUAGCCGUAAAAUAAUCACUAAAUGUGCAUGAACUAAAUUCGUGGCAUUAUCCAUUCUUACUGUUUUUAUCGUAUGUUCAAGGAUGACUUGCUGACAAUUCAAUAAUUUGGCAAAGACAUGUCGACGAGUGGAUAAUAAACAAACACAUGACCAUCUAGUGGAUGCAUAUAUUAGCACCAUGAAGUACCUAAACUGUCCAUAGUGUACUGGACCACAUAUAUCACCUCUAAUUCUUUCAAGAAAGUUAAGUGACUCCUUUUAAAAUUUGAGGUAUGAUGGCUUAAUAUUUAAUUUCCCAGUAGCACAUGCGGCACAUAUAAAAUCGGAUGAUUUGGGAAAUCUUCUAAUUGAUAAAUUAUGAGGAAAAUAAUUAAGUAUAAUUGUUCUCAUCACACCCUAUUCCAGGAUGACUAAGGCGAUCAUGCCAUGUUUUGAAUUUAUCAAGAUUUUGAAAUAAAAUAAAUUGUACGCAAUAUAAGGUACGGAUUCUUCCUACAUUGGAUUGUUUCACCUAAAAUUUAUUUCUUCCCUUAUGUAGUCUAUUUGCUUGGGUUCGACCGGUGCCUGAUAAUUUGAACAAAAUAGACCGGUUGUGAAUGAGACAAUGUUUAUUGCAAGAUUCGUUGAAGUAUUUAUAUGUUCUAAAGGGGGUGCUUACAAAUUUUCUUUUUAACUUGGCGCUCACAUUGCUUUUUUUUAUAAAAAAACAGUGCUUAUAAAGACGGUUCGCUAUGUACAACGUCAAGAUUCUAACUGCCAGGGGUGAUUACAGUACGAGUUACCAAGGCCGGCCCUUCUGUAAUCCCUCGGGUACGCAUGGCUGCCUAUAGUUCGGGGAGCGAGAGGGGUUAGGGGAAGCCCAUAUGUUCUCUCUGAUCGCACGAGGAAUGUCCCCUUAAUAAUUUGGUGGAAUCGGGAGCAUGUGAGUGUGAUCAUACGCAGGAGAUGGGCAGUUAGAUAGACAUCGACCGGUCAAUUAACAUUGCAGCAGCAACAGUAGAAACUGCUCCUGCAAUUGUCGCCAAAGAAAACUAGAUCGGGGGAGAAAUGCAAACAUAAGUAGGAGUACUGUAUUAAUUUUAGUCUUUUGAUUAAAUAUUCAGCCAUUUCAAUUUGAGUAUGAACAUAGGGUACUGAAUGUUCUAGAUGGAUAUCUAAAGUCAAAAAAUAAUAAUUAAAUGUUUGUGAACUAAAUUUAGCUGCAUUAUCCAUUCUUAUUGUUUUUAUCGUGUGUUCGGGAUGAUUUGCUCACAAGUUGAUAAUUUGAGCAAUUAAUUUUGCAAAGACAUGGUUAUGUGUAGAUAACAAACGCGGAUGCAUCUAUUAGCACCAUGCAGUACCUAAAUCGUCCAUAGGGGUUGUAUUGGACCACAUAUAUUUCCUUGAAUUAUUUGAAGAAAAUUAAGUUAGUCAUUUGUAAGUUUGAGGCAUACAAAAUCCAUUGAUUUGGGAACAUCUAAUUGGUAAAUUAUGGCCAAAAAAUUACGUGUAGUUUUUCUCAUCAUACGUCUUCCAGAAUGACCAAGGCUUUCAUGUCAAGUCUUAUCAUCAUGAAGGAGUCAACGACAACGCCCUGCUAUGACGUUUGCCACAACGUAAAAGCGAUCAUUUUUUUUGUAGACUAAUACCGAAUUACCGAGGCAAUCUCAUUGACAGUACGGCAGGCUUGGCUGACUGCAGUUCGUAGAAAUCGUACGAGGAGUGUUCCCUUAAUAAUUUGGUGGGAUCGGGUGCACUAUGAUUGCGCGCAGGAGAUGGACGGUUAGCUAUCGACUGCUCAAUUAAGAAUGCUGCUGCAGCAGCAGAAAACAGCUCCUGUAAUUAUCGGCAAAGAAGCUAGAUCGGGGGAGAAACGCACAUAUAUAUAUCGGGGGAGAAGCAGCUCCUGUCGCGAUUACAAACAUAAGUACUGUAUAAAACAUAAGCUAGAUCCUGGGAGAAAAUAUAGAGUACGUAGAGUUCAAUAUAUCAUCAUCAUCAACAUCAACGGGUCAAGGACCAUGCAUGCAUGUCCCUGCUAAUGAGUACCAGACUGCCAAUUAACUCCAUUAUUACAACUAAACUCUGAUGCUGAUCGAGUGACGCCUCUCACCUCUGGGCUAUCCCUCGCGAAGUCGCGAGCUCAGGCCGCCGCGCCUGCGCCUCCCGCCUGGCCGCCGCCGGCUCCACCAUGCGUCUGCGGCUUCCGGAUCAACGCCAGGACGAUCCGGCCGGUGUAGGCGAGGAUCCUCACCGCGAGCAGGAAGCUGGCUGUGUACUGUACACCGCCAAUGAAACCCGCUUCAUACUCCCCCAUGACCGCCACCGCCCGCCCACCGGUGUGUGUGUGUGUGUGUGUGUGUGUGAGAGAGAGAGAGAGAGAGAGAGAGAGAGAGAGAGAGAGAGAGAGCAAGUGAGGAUGGGGUGAGGAGAGGUGGAAGAAGUAGGCAGGAGCACACGCACUCUCUCCGCUCCAGGUUCCGGGGUUUUAAUGGCUUCUGCACGCCACUUUCGGCCAAGACCCAGCUGGGUCGACGCGGUAGGUCUUGGACGCACGCCCGAUGUGUCAAAAGCUAGCUAGCCGGCUGGCUGGCUCCUGUAUUGUGCUGUAUACGGAAACGAAACGGAAACGGGCGCAUGCACUUCCCUGGUGACAAUAGAAAAGGUACUUUCUCCGUUACAAAUUACUCGUCGCGAAAAUGGAUGUAUCUAGAUGUAUUUUAGUUUUGGAUACAUCCAUUUCUACGGAAACAGUGGGAGUAGCUAGCUAGCUAGCGUCCAUGGAUCAGCCACACACUUCAAUAAUUUCACUGCCCAUCUCGUGAACUUUUGUGCCACGGAGUGGGUUAUGCACCAUGAUCAAUGCCGUUGCAUGAAUAUGUACGGUUUUGCUUGAUCGAUGCCCCUCCACUAGCACAUGCCCGAGAGCCACCGCAACAUGAUGCAACGUUCAAUCUGCGUUCCUACUGAAUUUGGCCUUGAUGCUUCCAUGGACACAUAUAGGGCUGUAAUGCUUGUUCAGUCGAUCAUGUGAUUACAAUCACGUUGCAGUGGGAUGGAGGUGUUCACCAUUAAUGAUGACUGUUAAAAUAAAUCCGAGACGCUCCGUUGAUCUAUCGAGGACCAAACAAUCACACGAACACGACACCGAGAUUUGUUAACGAGGUUCACCAUCAUGGCUACAUCCUCGGGGCCUGACUACGGGUGCUCCUCCCCGUAACACCGUCACAAUACCGCACCCCGGCCGCCCGGGCGCCGGCACACGCCGCCGGCUCCCCCGCGUGCCCGUGCUAUUAUGUUGGCAUAGGGUACAUCGUGUGUCUACCCCGCUAUAUAUGAGAGGCCUAGGAUACAAGUGUCCUACUUGGACACGACUCCAUAUCCUGUCCACACACCGUACGACUCCAAGUCCAACUGUAACCUAACUUGUACAAUAAUAUUCGACACAACUCUAACAAACUCCACCUUGGCAAAUAUUCUCCACCACCUUGAAUUCGUCCGUGCGUCGAGCCUCCAUGUACAUUGGACUUGAGAUAUGCAAUGAGCACCGCUGCUACUCUCAGACUCCAUGUGACUCCACCUGCAACUGUAGUCCCUUCUCGUCUUCUUCACAGUCAACCCUCGAGCAAAAUUAAGUUCCUCAUUACUCUAUUUUGUGCUCCCAACUUCCGAGAUCCAUUCAACACUAUCACACACCGAUCACUGUCUGCGUGAAAAUGAACAACUCGCAUAUUGGAUGCCACAUAUAAGAGUUACCUGAACUCAAUGCCACCGCUCUUUCUUGACCGUCUAUCUGAAACUUGAAGGAAUUUCACCGUCGCCCUGUGUUACCCUGAGUCGAAUUCACAGUUGUCUCACCCUUUUCCCGGAUAGUCUCUGGCAUGUCCCACAGCUAUAGCACUCCGCCUCCUUCUGUCUUGUCAUCCGCACUUUGCCAUGUGCACUGAACACCACAGAAUAUACGGCCAUGUACUCUCUUUGUUUUGACAAUUCCAGACUUCCCGCCACUUUCUUAGAUUCUUCAUGGUCAACUCUUGUCCAUCAACCGACACCGAUAGACCCAGUCACCAACUCGAAUCUGGUACUCGUCAACACUGCUUCAGCACCCCCUGCACACUUUGUCUGACCACAUGUCUCACCAUUAGUGCCUUGGCCUGUUGCUGUGUCCCGUGCUUACCGCACGCCUCGCCGCUAUCACCGCGUCGAGCCUCUGCUGUCCUGGUCGAGUCUCCCAAGGUCGCGAACCCACACCACUGAGACCCCUACUGCAAAGAACCACCGAUCAUCACCGACCGAUGCCGAGUAUCACGUCUCCAUCAGACCACUGGUACCCAGUCUGAAACCACAUGUCUCUCGCUAUCCCGCUGAAAUAGGCUUCGACUCUCUGUUAACUUACGCCGUAGCCCCUCCAUCAGCACAGAGUGAAGUCGUCCAUCAGACUCCAGCUCCACCUUCAACAUGACUCCAUGUAGCUGGCCAUGCUACCCUCGCGCCCUGUCGACUUCAAGCUCUCUUGUGUGCACCGUCUUGAAUUAACCCUGCGCCAUAGUCUGUCGAAGCCGCACAAGCCCUCAGGUUUGCACCACGUGUUUCCACGUCCCAGAAGUCGGCCACCAUCAGCAUCACGCUCCUAUGCCGUUGUCGCUGAAAUCACCACCGUCUUCUGCUUUGACCGACAUCUCCGUCGAUCUGUCAGACAGUCCAGUCCGACCCAAUCGAAAAUAUCCGACUGCAAUCAUUCUCCACCCCGCGUCGUGUCCGCCUCACACACCUGUGCAUUGCCUUGACGCCAUGUGCAUGCAUGAUCCCUGCCACGACGAGCUCCAGACUCCUCCGAGCCAUAUACGCACGCCGCCAUCCUCGUCGCAUGUGCUCCAUCUUGAUCAACUUGGCAUUCCGCAAUUGACAUUGAUCUCUCAUGGAUAUGCGACUCCGCGUCCUUAUUUCCUGCAGUGCAUUGACCGCUGCCAUCAUGUAACACAGAGAAAACCCCAAAAACGACAUAUCAGUGGCAGCCUCCCGUGCCCAAACAUGGCACAAGCUGACCCUAAUUUCCUUUUUUUCUUUUUUCUCUCAAGCACCCGAUGGCAAGCACACCACAUGUGACGCCCUUUUUUCAAACAAAUCUCUUACGCCUUUGCACUUCUAGCAUCAGCCAUGCCACGCAUGCAUAUCUGACGCACAGUAGCUCACCUAGGCCUGCGCCUCGCUAGCGCUCCAGGCUCCAGCUGCGUCACCUGCCUUGCCCGCGCGCCCACCGCUCACGUGCACGUCGCGCUGGAGACCAGCUCCUGGAACGUGGAAACCACGGCCUUGGGCCUGCCUGGCACCGCUGGGCCUUGCGCCACAGAGUGGGCCGCCUGCCCUAGCCAUCUGCACGCUGCCGCCUCGCCAUCGAUCAAACUAAUCGAUCUGAAUGUGGCAGUGGAUGCUUCCGUGCACGACACAUACUACACCUUCCCCGAUCGAUUGAAUAGAUCUUCUCGCCACUGCCGUCCGCUAGGUCUAUCUGCUGCUAGCUGGAUGCAUCUCGUCGAGCGCCGCGUGCUCCCCAUCACUUUUACCUUGCCAAUAAUUCGUAAUCAUGUGUCACGCAGUCCGACUCGAUCGCUUCUGGACGGCUUUCAUGGCCGUACAUACGAUCCGAUCUUCAAUUGCUUCCACACGAUCAACAUGAAAUUUGCAACCUCUAGAUCAACAAACCGCAACCUCAAAUCAAACCUUGCUCAUGAUUCACUUGUUAGAAUAAAUCUGAGGCGCUCCGUUGACCUACCGAGGACCAAGCAAUCACACAAGCACGACACCGAGAUUUGUUAACGAGGUUCACCAUCAUGGCUACAUCCCCGGGGCCUGACUACGGGCGCUCCUCCCCGUAACACCGUCACAAUACCGCACCCCGGCUGCCCGGGCGCCGGCACACGCCGCCGGCUCCCCCGCGUGCCCGUGCUAUUAUAUUGGCAUAUGUUACAUCGUGUGUCUACCCCCGCUAUAUAUGAGAGGCCUAGGAUACAAGUGUCCUACUUGGACACGACUCCAUAUCCUGUCCACACACCGUACGACUCCAAGUCCAAUUGUAACCUAACUUGUACAAUAAUAUUCGACACAACUCUAACAAUGACCAAUAUGGAUCUUGGAGGGAAACCUUGCUGGACCCACCUGCCCUUAUCUUGUGUAGACUGCCAUGCACUGCAAUGGGUGUCUAUUGUAGUUCACUGAUAAAAGAAAAACCACCCAUGCCCAGCCGUUCUCCGUUUCAGCCUUCAAGAUGAAUCAUUUGGUUUAACCCAAUUGCUUCCUAAUGUGUACAGUGAAGUAUGAAGAAUUUCUAGUCCGUAAGCUUGACGGGGAGUUAUGCACUACCUUCUUUCGUAGUCUCCUGCAACGAGUAUUGAUCUGGAUGACAAGAUAUAUCAUGGAUCCACAAUGGAGGUACGCUUGUUAUUUUUCACAUUUCGCUCUAUGUUUCUUUCAUAAAGAAAGUACAUAUUUUUUGACAAAUGCACCAAUUAUAUUAAUAAAUGGUACCUUUUAUAUAUAAACAUUUACGGAUACAAGUUAGACAUAUUCAAUACAAAUGGAACAUUUUCCCAAUGCAUCGCAAAAAAAUUCAAAAAAUUAUGAAUUUUUCUGAAUACACCAUGUAAAAAAUUAAAUACAUGUUGAAUUUUUUUGUACAUGAUGAAGUUUUUCAAUUAAUGUUGAGCAUUUGCUAAAUAUACAUUCUAUUAUUUAUAAUACAUGAUAAACAUUAUUAAAUCCAAUAUGAAUAUAUUUUUUAACGUGCAAACACUUCAAUAAACUAAAUGGACACUUUUAAAAUCCGUGAACGUUUUAAAAAAAUAUGAACAUCUUUUACAAAUAUAUGGCCAUUUUAGUAUUUUAUGUCUCGGAAUAUUUUUCCAACACACAAUAUUUUUUAUAUGUUAUCGUUAAUUUGAUGUUAUGUAAAUUUUCAAGAUAAAUCAAUUGUACAUCUACAUUGUAUUUAAAAAGUUUCGAUGUAUGUUACAAUAUGUACUUUAUCCAAAAAACAGAGAAAGGUGUCAAAAAACAAAGAGAACUAAGAAAAUCUUGUAUUUGAGCCAGCCCAUGAGAGGCUUGCAUUAGCAACCUAAGGGAAAAUCCUAUUUGCCGCAUACCUUGGUGGAUAGCAAGCAAACGCGGUGGGAGUUGUAUGUCGCCAUACCUAUUUGUAUUACCACUCACUUAAAUAGCUGUCAUAUUUAGGCCAACCCAAUAUUGUACUUGUACGUGAGGUUUUUGCAGAAAAGUGGAUUCAUUCCAGAAAAGUUCCAGAAGAUGCUAAUGGUAAGCAAGAAGAUUGUUUACAAAGAAACAACAAAAAAAUUCAUAUUCUAAUACAUAAGAGUUAUAUAGGAAUCGAAAUAGUCUUUUAUUUUCUUUUUGAAAUAAAAAUGGAUUUCAUUGAUGUAAUAAAACUAUUCCAAUUCGAAUAAUAGUUGAGAAAGAAUCGCAAUAAAUGCAAAGAUGGAAUAUCUUGGAUACGGUAUUGAAGGAGUUGAACCAGGAUUUCCAAAUGGAUAGGAUUCAUUAUUGCACAUCAAUUUCUUAGGGGUUUCUUUGGUUGCUCAUGUACUUUUUUUCUUCAGUUUUAAGUUUUUUCUUUGCUUUUCACCGAUCUCCUUGCAUUUUUUUUUUACAAAAAAUGACUAAUUUUCCAUACACGCUGUCCAUGUUUUAUACUUCUUUACAAAACAUCAAAAGCACGAUUAAUAUUUUUUAACUAUGUGAUUUUUUAUAUUCUUUUUGGCACAUUGUGCAUUUUUGCACACAUCUAGGAUAUUUUUAUAUGUUUAAAAAAUUUAAAUACAUGAUUACGUUUUUUCAAAAACUUAGUUUUCACAUUUUCAAUACAUGUUACAAAAUUGAUAUACACGUCAAAAUAUAAUUUCAAGAUAUGUAACCUAUUUUUACAUUCAAUAAACACUUUUCAAAUGUCAGAAAUAACGUGUGACAUUUGUCGAAAUGCAGCAUACAUUUUUUCAAUGGUAUAAUUUUUUUGGUACUACACUAACAUGUUAUUUACAUAGUAUAGUUUUGUUUUACAAGUCACCUACAUUUUAAACACGAAAAAAUUCUGAAUGGUACAAAAAUUUUCUUGAAGUUGAGAGAACAUUUUUGACAAUACAUGUAUAUUUUCUUAAAAUUAGAAAUAUUUUUAUCAAAUGUGUGGAUAUUUUGUAAAUUAUACAAUCAGUUUAAAUAUGAGAACAUUUUUAGAAUUCAUGAACACUUUUGAAUUUCAGGAACAUUUGUAGAGUUUAUGAAUUAUUUGUUGGAUUUUUUAAUCAAGACUUGUUUUAUUAAUUCGUGAAUUGUUUUUGUCAAGUUCAUUUUUUCAAAGACAGGAACAUUUUUUGAAAUCCAAGAACUUUUGAAAAAUCAUGAACAAUUUCGGAAUUAAAAUAUUUUUGUGAACGUAAGACAAUUAUCAAAUAUAUAUAUUUUUUGAAAUCCAAGAACAUUAUCCAAAGUUGUGCACAAAUUUUGAGUUUAUGGAAAAAUUCAAAAUUUUCGUGAAUAUUUUUCAAAGUUCAAAAAGGAAAAACAAAAUAACCAAAGGAGAAAAAAAAGGAAAAUCACAGGCGCCCAUUUGACGUGGUCACUAAAAAAACUUGAAUGAGGUGGAAACUUGGCCCUUUCUCCUUGGCUGGAAAGAUAGAAUGGAAAUCAUUUUCUUUUUUCUAGAAAUAACCCUCUUUCAUGUUUAUCGAAUAACAAGUUUAGAAAUUUUAAAAAUGUUUUAUUUUCAAAAUUUGUUCAAUAUUGGAAUAAAGUUUUAUUUUCAUAACAUUGUUUGUAAUUACAAAAAGUCAACAUUUUUAAGUUUUGUUCAAAUAUGCAAUAAAAAUCUUUUUUAUAAAUACGUUCAGUUUUUUAAGUAAAAAAUCAGGAUUUUCAAAAAAUGAUCGCAUUUUUCAAAGAACUGUUCGUAAUUAAAAAAUGCAAACAAGAAACCCGUUGCCACAGUAUGAGCUGAGUCGAUAAACAAUGUGUCGCUACAAUAGGAAUCAUGGCACUAUAGUGUGAGAACCAAGUCAUCACUAUGUUUCACUAUCUAUAUGGUCUGGCCCAAUAGGGAGCUCCGUUGGGCGCCGCGCCUCUAUUGGACAUAGCGAGCAUCCAAUAGGAGUCCUCCAUUAGGGCAUGUUUAACCGAUCCCAUAUAGCUGGGUUACUUACCCUCUCGUUUAGGGUUUACCUACUCCGGCGGCGGCGACGCCGGCGUUGAGUCUUCGUCCCCUGCCUCCUUCGUGAUAGCCGAUGACGUCCGCACGGGCUCCCCGGCCUUGGCGUUAUGUUUUCGAUGGCUUUUUACGAGGGUGUCUAGGGUUUUAUUCUCGGUCCAGAUGGGAUCGGCUGCUGCGGAUCACCAUGGCUGGAGGAGCGAGUUCAGCUUCUGGAGCAGGAAAGAGAUACUUGGCAGCCACGACUCGUCGGCCGGACGUGCAAAAAGAGGCACUGGAUGGAGGUGAGGCUGCAUGCAAGGUGGAUCUGUUUUGGUACUUGCUGGAAUUUUUGUAUCCCGGAGAUGGAGAUCCUGGUGGAACAAGUGGUGUGGCCUCCCCCUCCAAAUCAACCACCUCUGAAGCUACAUCGGCGGCCUCCCUUGAGGAGGACCGCCGAGUCCAAUGAGUAUUAUGAGCUGGAACUGUCGCGGGAUUGGCAACGACGCGACAGUUCGAGAGCUACGCACGCUUGUGCAACGGUUUGCCCCCUCAGUGCUUUGCCUUCAAGAAACUCAAGUUGGAGGGUUGAGGGCUAGGAAUCUAGCUCAUUCUUUUGGUUUCAAUAGAAGUUAUACUGUAGGUAGUAGAGGAAGAAGUGGUGGUUUGGCAAUGUACUGGAAUGAUAAUUUAAAUCUAGAUCUUAUUCAUUUUUCACAGUAUCACAUUGACAUGAUAGUUAAGAAAGAUGAGGAACAACCAUGGCGGAUAACCUGCAUUUAUGGUGAAGCAAAUGUCAAUGAACGACAGAAGACUUGGGACCUGCUGAGGUUCCUCCGAAGUGAAUCCAACCUGCCCUGGGUAUGCAUUGGCGACUUCAACGAAGUACUAUCGGCAGACGAACAUUUUGGAGUUGGCGAAAGAAAUCCGAGGCAGAUGACGGGAUUCAGGGAAGCUGUUGAUGUCGCUGGUCUAUGCGACUUGGGUUUUAUUGGUCCUUCAUGGACUUUUGAAAAGAAAGUGAGGGGCGGGUCCUAUACACGGGUACGCCUUGACCGUGCCCUUGCAACGACCGACUGGUGGCUGCGUUUCAAUUCAGCAAGUGUCCGGCAUCUCACGACUGCCCGGUCAGACCAUAGCCCAAUUCUCUUGCAGCUAACUGAACCUACCCAGCAGAGAAGAGCACAAGAGAAGCACUUCAGAUAUGAACUGAUGUGGGAGACGCAUGAAGCUUUUACCCCUUUUAUUACAGAGGCGUGGUGCUCAGGUCAACCAUCCAGUUCUAUGCUUGCGUUGGGUAAUAAAUUAAACAGGAUCUCGGGGGAGUUAUUGGGCUGGAACAGCAGCGUGUUCGGUCAGGUAAAAAAGGAGAUAAAUAGACUACAAACUGAACUGGAAAGGCUUCGUUCGAUACCAGAUCGAGUGGGACCUUCAGAGGCAGAAGUCAAUAUUACUCAGAAGCUCACAGAAUGGUACCAUCGUGAGGAGAUCAUGCAAAAACAGCGUUCACGCAUCCAGUGGCUUUCGGCGGGAGAUAGUAAUACCCGAUUUUUUCAGCAGAAAGCGAGCAAAAGGAGAAAAAAGAACCGGAUAGAACGGCUCCAGUUGCCUGAUGGGUCUCUUUGUGAGGAUGUCGAACAGUUAAAGGUCCACUCUGUGAAUUUCUAUAAGGCAUUGUAUACUUCUGAACGUACAAUGGGUAUGGAGAGAGUGCUUUCCUGUGUCCCAAGGAAAGUAACACCAGAGAUGAACCUAUCACUAAACGCACCGUAUAAAGCGGAGGAAGUCAAGUUGGCAUUGUUCCAAAUGUUUCCGACCAAGGCGCCAGGACCUGACGGCUUUCCAGCACAUUUUUUUCAGCGUCAUUGGGACAUAUGUGGGGAAGAAGUGACUAAGGCAGUAUUGAAUAUUUUAAACGGAGUUGAAGAAAUUGGUGAGGCUAACCAAACUUUACUUGUUCUCAUUCCCAAAGUUUCAGAUGCAUCAUCUCUCACCCAAUUUAGGCCAAUUAGUUUGUGCAAUGUUAUUCUCAAAAUUGUUUCUAAAGUGCAAGCAAAUAGGCUAAAGCGGAUACUCCCAGAGAUAAUCUCUGAAGAGCAGUCUGCGUUCGUGCCAGGGAGGCUCAUCACAGACAAUAUUAUAACUGCAUAUGAGUGUUUGCAUUUUAUGAAGAAGAAGCGAGGCAGGAGCUCGCAAUUUUGCGCCUUGAAACUAGACAUGAUGAAAGCUUACGAUAGGGUGGAAUGGGACUAUCUCAAGGCCAUAAUGUUGAAGUUGGGUUUUAGCGACAGGUGGGUCGCUUCCAUAAUGAAAGUGGUGACAUCAGUAACUUUUUCGGUGUUGUUCAAUGGGGAGAGGACGGAGGUCUUUAAACCGUCUAGGGGGAUUCGUCAAGGAGACCCCAUCUCCCCAUAUUUGUUUUUACUAGCAGCUGAAGGUCUCUCUUGCCUUCUAAGGAGCAGGGGGAACUCGGAAAACCUAUCGGGCAUCCUUGUGGCGCCCACAGCACCCCCGGUCAAUCAUCUUUUAUUUGCAGACGACAGCCUGUUAUUCGCAAAAGCAAGCACCGAAGGAGCAACGUCAAUUAAAGAAGUGGUAGAGAUCUAUUGUCAGGCCUCGGGACAACGAAUUAACUUUGCAAAAAGUUCUAUUCACUUCAGCAAGGGAUGUCCAAACACUAUCAGAGAAAGUAUCAAGGUAAUCUUGGAUGUUCCUAAUGAAAGUUUGAAUGAGCGAUAUUUGGGUAUGCCCUCGGAUGUUGGAAGAAGCAAGAAUGGUACGUUUAAAUAUCUAAAGGACAGGGUGUGGAACAGGAUCCAAGGAUGGAUGGAGCAAAUCCUCUCGGCAGGGGGCAAAGAGGUGCUUAUAAAGUCAGUUGCACAGGCAGUUCCAACUUUUUCGAUGGCUUGCUUUAAACUGCCUAGAGGUCUAUGUGAGAAGUUAAAUUCGAUGAUAAGAAGCUUCUGGUGGGGAAGCAAGAAUGGCAAGCGGAAACCACACUGGGUCUCAUGGGACACUAUGACGAUGCCAAAAUAUAUGGGCGGACUGGGAUUCAAGGAUUUUGAAUUAUUCAACUUGGCCCUCCUAGCGCGCCAAGCAUGGCGCAUUCUCCAGUUUCCGGAGACCCUGAGUGCGCGUAUAAUUAAAGCAGUAUAUUUCCCUCUGUCAGAUAUCAUGGAAGCAUCGUUAGGCUCUUCUCCAUCUCAAGUGUGGAGAGCCAUAGUUGAAGGACGAGACAUGCUAAAGCUUGGUUUGAUCAGGAGAAUAGGCAAUGGUGCAGCAACGAAAAUAUGGGGAGAUAAUUGGAUACCGAGGACCCAAAGGCUCAGACCAAUGGCAGCCCUAGUAUCAGACACACCAGAACUUGUGGCCGAACUAAUUGACCCGACUUCUUGCCAGUGGAAUAUGGCAGAGUUAGAGAGAGUUUUCUUGCCCAUGGACGUACAAGCUAUUCGCGCCAUUCCGAUCAGCACGUCAUCGCAGACUGAUUUCUGGGCAUGGCAUCACGAAAAGUCUGGUAACUUCACUGUCCGUUCAGCGUACAGAAUGAUGGUAACAACGAAAAAAGUUAGGGAAGAUUGGCUUGAAGGCAGACCAAGCACUAGUUCGAACAGGGCGGAAAAGGCAUGGUCACAACUAUGGAAGAUCAAGGUACCAUCUAAAGUGCGAGUCAUUGUUUGGCGGCUCGCACAACACUCUUUCCCUUCGGGCUCAGAGAUGCAUCAUCGGAAAAUGACCACUAGCCCUCGAUGUGUUAUUUGUCAAGCAGAGAAUGACUCUUGGAGACAUUCGUUAAUAGAUUGUACCAUGUCACGUUGUGUUUGAGCAUUACUUGAUGAAUCCCUCAUAGAGCACAUGUGCAUGAAUUCUUGCUCGGAUGCGAAGGAGUGGCUGUUCCACAUGAUGGAGACUACAACACAUGAAGAAUUCAUCAAAAUUUUAUUGACACUUUGGGCGAUCUGGGGUGCGCGCCGAAAGGCAAUUCAUGAAUCUAUCUACCAAAGCCCGGUGACUAUUCAUGGUUUUGUUACCAGUCUCAUUGCCGACCUUCAAAUGGUGAACACAAAACUGGAUAAAGCUGCUCCAAAUCUACAAGCAGCAGCGCCGAGAUGGAGGCCACCGCCGGAGGGCUGGGCCAAAAUUUAUGUUGAUGGUGGUACAAACAAGAUAGGAUCAAAGGGAGCAGCUGCCGUCAUAUGCAGGAAUGAUACAGGGAAGUACCUGGGGUCUUCAGCGAGGGUAUUGAACAAUUGCACCGACCCAGCAACUCUUGAAGCAAUAGCAUGCUGUGAAGCGCUGACUUUGGCGGAGGAUUUAAACAUUCAGAAAGUUAUUAUCGCAUGUGAUGCUUCCACAGUUAUCAAGAACAUCAAUGAAGGUAGUAGAUGCGAGUAUAGUUCGGUUCUUACGGAGAUUAAGGUGCGAUCGAGACAUUUUCUUAAUGUUAAUUUUGUGCACGAGGGUAGAGCAACAAACAUAGAAGCUCACAAUCUUGUGAAAAGUGUUUUAUCACUCGAACAUGGUCGAUUUCUAUGGCUACUCCAGCCAUGGGAUCCCUCUAUUGUACUUCCUGUUAUAGAGCAAUAAAAUGACCGUGUGAUCCUCAAAAAAAAAAAAAAAACGAUCCCAUAUAGCUGGUUAGUGGAGUAAAAUACCGACACCUAACCGAUGCCUCUUCUACCCCGAGGGAGUAAAAUUUUACUCCUCUCUCGAAAAGUCUCCCUAUAUUUACUUUAUCUUUUGGCGAUUGAGUAAAAGUUUUCUUUGUGUGAAGGCCUCCUAGUGGCCAGUAGGCGACUCACGUGAAGCUCCCAUGAUCUCACCGGUGACCUCGUCGGCGACCUUGCCAUCUCGGCAGAAGUUGAGAUGCCUCGCGUUGGGUUGUGGCAUGGCUGCGGCGGCCAAGGCACGGCAAGGUGAGCAACUGCACCGGCUGCGCUGGUCGUCGUCACUGGCGGCCAUGGAGGAGACGAGCAGGGCAACGGCUAGCAGAAGGCCCAAGCCAGUCUGGAACCAGUCCAUGAUCUCGCGGAGCAUGCCGACAUUGAACACUAGCCUGCCCUCGACGACCCUCACCACCGCCUGGAUAGCAUCGCUACCAUGAGGAGAGCAACUGCCGGUGCUCGCGCUCCGAGCCUGGCCGCCAUUCUUUCUCUGGAAGCAGGUGAAGAAGAAUACACCUUAGCUGCGCACGUACGCAUGUCUAUGACUAUGUGCGAUCAUUAUGUAUUCUAAUGCUUCGUUUGCUGUUGGGUUGUGGCCCGGGCUUGUUAUAUAGGGAUCGAGAUUGCUGGGCUAGCUCUUCGGCUUUGACCGUUGGAAACUUGGAAAUUUUGAGUGGUUGGAGGCUUGAAAAAUCAGCAGCCGCAGCUAGCGGCAGCCCGGUGUGGUCACGAUGUAUUUCUUCAGUAAAAAACAAGGCGUGGUCACCUGCACGUUGUUUGCAUGAGCUAACGUACGCCGGCGGCGGUGGCCGUGUCAUUGCGGUGUCGACAUCAUCGACGCCGCUAGCCACUACGUUGCCGGCGUGGAUACAACGCCGCAAGCUGCGAAGACGCAUAGCAAGUGGUCGACGAAAUAUUUGAGCCAUACAUAAGCUUUACUCCGUUAUAUAUAGAGGAUCGACUAGGUCCAGCCAAAAUUUAGUGAAAUAAUUAUACUCCACUAAGCCUUUUACUCCCUUAACUUUUAGGGAAUCCGUUAGAAAUGCCCUUAGGAGGUCUAAAAUUCUAUUUGAUUGGUUUUGAGAUUUUCUAAAAUUCUCUUUGAUGCUCAUUGUCUUAAAUGGUUGCCCUACAAAAAAACGUGUAUUCUUGGAAAGCUAGGGCGGCUUUAUUUUCUUCUUACUAGGGGUAAAGCAACUCUACUACUUAGAGGGUGUUUGUUUUUAAGGACUUAUUGAUUUAGGGACUUAAAAAAGUCUCUAUAAGUCCCAUCUAAACCAAACAGGAGGGACUUAUAUGGACUUAAAGUGGGCAUUUGGGACUUAUGAAAUAAGACUCUCAAGGAGGGACUUAUAAUUGUAAUAUGGUCUUAUAGAGACUUAUAAGUCCCAGGAACCAAACAGGUAGGGACUUUUAGGGACUUGGGACUUAUAAGUUGGGACUAAAAAAAAGUCAUAGGACUUAUGAACCAAACAAGGCCUUAAAACAAUAAGCAUGCAAUUUGUCGCCAAAUUAAAAAGAUCGAGGGAGAAACACACAAACCGGACCGAGAUUAUUACAAACAUAAUCAACACAUAGCUAGAGAAACUCUAGAUCGAGUAGCAGUAGAGUUUCGUUAAUAUAGAGACGAUUCAAUGCCUGCUGCUAAUGCAUAUUGCCGCUAAUUAACCUCAUUACAACUACAUAGUACUUAGCUUGCACACAUCCAGGGUAAAGCUGUGGACCAUAUCUUGACCUCAGACCGCCGCGCC